rnacentral:lncRNA from 1 species
UUUUUUCAAAUAUGUUAUUAACUUAUUAUGUUAGAUUUAUGUGGGGUUGUUCAUUUCAUUAUAGUCAAUGUUGAAUGUUAAUUAUUAAUUAAUUUAGAGACGUGUAUAAUUCGUAUAAAUUUAACAUGUGAAAAGUCACGCAAAAAUAACUCGUCGACUAUUUGACCUGAAAUUGACCCACUGACCCGCGAACCCAUAUACUUAAACUAGUUAUGUAGAUCGGGUUGGAUUAAUGUUUCCAACCCACCAAACCGUGACCUGCCAACCCACCAACUCAUAUAUUAUAUAGGUUGGGUUGGAUCAAUAUAGUCUGACCCACCAACCCAUCAACCUGAAUCCAACCUAAUUGUUGGCCUACUUUUUUCACAUUUUUUAUAUCAUUUUGCAUAUUUCAUUAUACAUAUUUGCUUCAUAAUCAUGCAUUGCAUCGUAUGUAGGGAUGGAAAUUUGGUCUGGAAACUCGAACUGAACCAAAUUAGACCCAGAUAAGCAAUUCAAUUCGGUUUUCGAGUAUCUAUAUUAGGCUUAUUCGAUUCUCGGGUUAUUCGGUCCAGGUUUCCCAGAUAAGGGCUUAUCUGGUUGUAAAUACCCGACCCGAAAUUAAAAGGUCAUUUUUUAAUCGUAUUUUUCUUGCUACACCGAAUGACCUACAUUCAGUCGGUUCGAUCGUGUUUUUCCUUAUCUCUCCUUUUGUGAUCGAGUCGUGCAUUCAAAACAGAAAAAAAAACUAUUGCAUCGUAUUAUCGAAGUCGACUUCCUACUCAAUCGUACUACACAAAUUUUAACUUUUUUUUUUGAACUUUUGAAACAAUUAUGUUUACUUUACAUUAUUUUUUAUUAACAAAUUUAUUUCUUUAAAAGAUUUGUUAUGAAAUCAUAAGCUAGAAAAAGUCAUAAAAAAUACAAUGUUUAUAAUCAUAUUGUAAAUUGUAAAUGUUAUUCGGGUUAUAGAAUCUUAAUACGGUUUAUUUGGUUCUUUUCAAUUAUCUUAGGUCCUUAAUCAUCUUGUACAAUUUGGGUUCGGGUCGGUUCGGUCCGGUUCCGACCCAAAUAGCAUCCCUAUUCAUAUGUAUGGAUUAUACUUUAAAUUUUGUUUGUUACUUGUGAAAAUGGUCAAAUCUUAUUUCUGUUUUGUUUAUCUUCACCAAACUCUUUGUUUCGUUAUGUCCUACCUACCAAAAUAUAUUCUUAGACCACUCUUAUCCCGUUUAAUUUUACAUAAACUAUCUAACAACUAAUCAGAGUUGUCAAAAAAAACUUAUUGAUCCUUUAACGAAGUACAUAAGCCGGUGGAUUAAGAAAAGGACAAAUUUUAAAUUUAAUGACUUUUUAGAAAAAUAGGGAGAACGAAUCCUAAGAUGAUGUAAUCGGAUCAGGACUAAAAGACAAUAAUAUAGUUUAAAAAAAGCAAUCAUGGUUUAAUUAAAUUUAUUAAUUUUGGAUUUAUUAUUGUUAAUUGAACGACAUGACCAACAUCGACACCUAACGUCGUUACCAACAAAAUUAAAAUUUUCAAUUUCACCCCUUUUACUUAUCUCACACAUCAUUAUUAAUCCUUUACUUAUACGACAUUUUCGUUUUUGGCUUUCUUUAUUAGAAAUUCAAUAUGAGAAAAAUAGUCUAGAGUCCAAUUAGUAUUUUGGUUGUAGGAUAACAAUUUUUUCUGUGUAUACUAUUUUGCAAAAAUGAAUGUAGGUAAAUAUCAAUUUGAAUGAUUCGAAAACAGAAGUACUUACUUGAACUUUAGGAAAACAUGAAGGGGUAUAAGUGAAAGUAUACUAAAAAAAGCCAACAGCCUUUUCCUUGCUGGUAAUCUUCUUCCUUCCAUUAUUAUCUAUCCGCGGUCCUCCAUUGAUGAUCUUCGUGAAGCUCAUGGUGUGACUGACACAGACAGGUCCUUCAACCCUCAUCCUUCUGCAACCCUCUUGUCUGGACGUAUUUUGUUGUCCUUACCCACGUCCUAUUCUUGUCAAUUUCUCCCUCAAUUCCAUCCCCCUUUUCCAAUAUUCCCCCGCCCCACCACCACCACCACCACCAUCACCAUCACCAUCUCCACCACUUCAAUCAUGCUUCAGUCUCUUCUCCUUCAACACCCUCUCACCACCACUAAUGUUAGCAGCCCUAAUUCCUCACCAGUCACAGUCAACGCCUCCACUAUGAACACAAACACCUCUAAACGAGCCAUCAACGAAGGAAACAACGACGUUGAUGAUGAUCCUUCGUCUCACCACCAUAAACGACGGAACCUCGAAGAUAAACCGGAGGAGCAUGAGGACCAGUCGAUCCUCGUUGAAGCGGAAUCAUCUGGUUUAAGACUUUUAGGGUUGUUGCUACAGUGCGCCGAGUGCGUAGCGGUUGAUAACCUAGACCACGCGAAUAAUCUUUUACCGGAAAUAUCGGAAUUGUCUUCUCCGUUUGGUUCUUCGCCGGAACGUGUAGCGGCGUACUUCGCCGAAGCGUUACAGGCGAGAAUUAUCAGUUCUUACCUCGGAACCUAUACGCCUCUCAGCAUCAAAAGAUUAGCCCUAGUUCAAAGCCAGAAGAUCUGCAACGCUCUUCAGUCCUACAAUUCGAUAAGUCCUUUCAUCAAAUUCUCCCAUUUCACAGCGAAUCAAGCGAUUUUCCAAGCGCUAGAAGGUGAAGAUGGCGUCCAUAUCAUCGAUCUCGACAUAAUGCAAGGUCUCCAAUGGCCUGGAUUGUUCCACAUCCUUGCCUCUCGACCUCGCAAAAUCAAAUCUCUUAGAAUCACAGGCGUCGGAUCUUCCAUUGAACUUCUCGAAGCCACCGGCCGCCGUCUCCAUGACUUUGCAAACUCUCUCGGCCUCCCCUUCGAAUUCACCCCUCUCGAAGGAAAAAUCGGAAACAUCAAUUCGGAUCUCACGACUCAACUAGGCGUCAGACCCGGUGAAACGAUGGUCGUCCACUGGAUGCACCACUGUCUCUACGACGUCACAGGCAGCGACUUCGGUACCUUACGACUAUUAGCCUUACUAAAACCUAAACUCAUCACAAUCGUCGAACAAGAUCUGAGCCACGGCGGCAGUUUUCUAGGGCGGUUCGUUGAAGCGUUGCAUUACUACUCCGCCUUGUUCGACGCUCUAGGCGACGGACUGGAGUCCGAAAACGUCGAACGGCACACGGUGGAGCAACAGCUGUUUGGAUGUGAAAUAAAAAACAUCGUCGCCGUCGGCGGGCCAAAGAGGACCGGCGAGGUGAAGGUGGAGAGAUGGGGGGAAGAAUUGGUUCGGGUCGGAUUUAAACCCGUUUCAUUAGCGGGUAACCCGGCAGCACAAGCGAGUUUAUUACUGGGAAUGUUUCCGUGGAAAGGGUACACGUUAGUAGAGGAGAACGGUUGUUUGAAAUUAGGUUGGAAAGAUUUGUCGUUGUUGACUGCCUCUGCAUGGCAGCCGUCCGAUUUUCAAUGAAGUCAACGAUGGAGUUGGAUCAACGGUGGAGAUUGAAACACUUUGAAAUAAUAAUAAAUUCCAAAAAUGUAAAAAGAUGCUUUAAUUUUUUUAUAUAUAUAUUAAUAAAAAAAUCGUUCUUUGAUUGUGGAUAAUAAUACAAAGCAAAUUUUGAGAUUACUUUUUGUCUUCAAUAUUCUCAUGAAUAUGGUCAUUGGUUCCUCGAAACUAUUCGUGGUAUGGAUAAGAAAAGGGCAAAGUGGAAUAUAUUAUCUUUUCAGCUUGCUAUUAAUAUAUUUACCGCCCUUUUUUUAAUAAACCCGUGUAGUACACGGGUCUUACACCUAGUAUAAAUUAAAAAAGAACGGGAGGAGCAAAAAUAUGGAAGCAAUAAUUUAUAUGGAAUUAAUUAUAGAGAUAUAAUUUAUAACUAGAUUAUGACCCGCAUAAAACGCGGGGGACAUAUAAAAAAAUACAUAUAAAAGUAUAAAAAAUUGACACAAUAAUUAAAAAAAGUAACAGAAAUAGAAUUUGUUUUAUCGGUAACAAUGAAAAAAACAAUGAAAUGCUUGAAUAUCUAUAACCGAUGAAGGAUUUUUUUGUAAACAACGUUUUUUGUUUUAUUAGUUGGACGACCUUGUCACAUAUGAGUACCUUCAAUACGAUAUCUUUUUAAUUUAUACUCUUCUUAGGUUCGGAAACUAAUGUCAGUUGUCUUUUUUCUUUCUUGUUGAUGUAUCAAUUAAUGCAAUACAAAUUGGUGCUACAUUUGGAGUUUUUAGUGCUAUUAGUCGAUUUGUUAAUCAUCUUCCAGUAAAUUAAUGUUUUUUUUCAAAAAAAAUAUACAACUUUUUAUAUUUUCUUCGAGUUAAUGUUUUAUUGAUUUGUAUUAAUAAUAAUAUGAUUGAUGUAGGAGGGUCCUCAAACACUUGUGGGAAUUACAUUUGACUCAUUGCAACAUGUAUUUUUUUUUAAAUAACCUUUCAAAAAGAAUUAUUACUUCAAGCUCUUUUGCAUUUUUUAUUGCAACCAUUGAUUUUCUUAGUUCUAGACAUAUAUGAUGUUUACACUCCUCUCCCCUCUGAUGUUAUUGUUCAACUUUCUAAGAUGAUGAAGUUACCAAAGACUGGUGCUGACGAUCAUUGGACGUUAGCAAAUAACAUGAAUGAUUUUUCAAGAAUCCUGUAAGUAAAUCUAUUUCUAACUCAAGUUACGACAACACCCUUGUGUUUGUUUGUCGCGUGUUUAUCAUAACAUUUAUUAAGGGGUAUUAGUAUCAAUUUAUACAUAUCUCCAAAUAUAAGUCAAUUUUAAUCAAGGGGCAAAAUAUUCAUUUUUCUUGAGUUGGCAAAAAACUUUAACCUGGAGAACACAAGUGUAACCUAUAUGAAAACUGUCAAAUGUCCUCUAGAAUCUAAAAUGUUAUAAGUUGUCUUUGUAGUUGAAUUAUCUAUUAUUUUUCAUUUCCAUUUAAGUUCUUUUUGGGAUUAAACAAAAGGAAAAACAACAUAAUUUCGUUAUAUGAAAAAAAAAAUUCGGAGUACAAGGCUACAAUUGGUAUAAAACCCUAAAAUGAUAGCUCAUUGGCCUAACUCAUCUAAUUUUGUAUCAUACACUAAAAGAAAAAAUAAAAGAAUAAACAAACAGUUGCAAUGAAAACCUUGUUGUACCAAUAAGUUGGCUUAAAACUCAACAAAUUUUGAAUAUAGGAAGAGUCUACUAUUCAAAAAUGAAAUCAGAAACUAUAAUAAGGAGUCAGUUCGUGUAGAUGUGCAACCCAUAAUCAAACCCAACCGUCUGAGUAUACAUGAAGGGCUAAUUUUCUCAUGGAGAGCAUGACAACAUCACCGAUGAGAAAUUCAUUUGGUGGCAAGUUAAAAAGAUUUUUGAAUGCCAAAUUCCAAUGAGGUGACUUCAUAUUGAGUUGUCAAGAAGAUAGAAUAAUUCGUAUAGAUGUGGAAUCCAUAAUCAAUACUCCUAUAAUGCAAAAGUUAAAAGAUUUUACAAAAAAAUGAAAACAAAACGCCCUAAAAAAGAAGUGAAAAGGGUCAUUUACCAAACUUUAGAUGGCUGCAAAAAAGAAACGCUAUUUGUUCAUACUUACUUCACACAUACAUCAUUUUAAUAAUGCAAAUGUCAAUUUACCUAUAAGGAAAUUAAAAAUAAAUAAAUAAGCCAAACCUGAGAUCCUUUUUGACAACAUAUGCAUCCGACGUAACUAUAUUGGAUCUUGGAAAGCAAAUAUAUUGGUUAAUGCAAGUGAAGGAUAUGGAAUUGAUUUUCCAACAUCCAUUUUUGGGUAACAUCCACUUUCAUAUCCCUUUUACACAUACUUCGGCUCUCAUCAUGUGCGAUUAUUGCUUCUGUUAAAAAAUACAAAGUUAUACAACCAUAUAAAUCAGAUAAGAAUUGCACUUUUAGAAAGCAUGUAUAUUAUGGAAUAAGGUUAGAACACAUUUGGUCUUCAAAUGUAAGAAUCUUAAGAAUGGCCUAACUACAAAGAUUCCCAAGUAUAGUGUCUCACGGUUGGUUUUUUAUUCCAGUGAAGGGGAUUGUAUCACAUUACCUCGAUGGUAUAUUAUCUAAGAAAGUAAGAAAUAAGGCCAAAUGAAACUUGAUGGCAAAACACCAUUCUUUCGUUGGUUAUACUGAAAAAUAUAUAAAUUUUUUAAAUUCUUAGAAGUGGAUAUAUUUUGUUUUGACAAUCAACAUUCUAUACAUAAAAAUCCCAAAUCUUUCCGAUGAUAAACUUUGAUAGUACACGGUCAUUACAAUUUUUUUUUGUCUCAAUAGCUUAAGCAUCUAAUAGAGGCUUAAGGAUAUGAAUAUAAACUAAAGAACUACAUACAAUACAUACCUAAUAACCUCAAAUGCUCCAGAGCUUCAAAUAUUUUUCUCACACUUCUUCUCUCAACUUUUACAUAUUGACGACAUGUCUCCAAUUGGUUGAAGCGCUUUAAUAUUUAUGAAAUUGUUCAUAAUCUGUAAUGAUAACAUAAUACUUUUUAAUCUUAAUCAAAAUAUAAAUUCUAUUCGAGUACCUAAAAAACUACAUUACGGUGUCCCUGCUUUACAGUAUUAGAAAAAUAAAUAAAAAAAUUCAUACAUUUUUUUGCAACUUUUUCAUAAAUUGCAUGAAAAGAUCUAUCAAUCUUUUUCUGGUCAAGGAUUUAAUCUCUCUCAUCAUACCAAAAUCAUAGUAUAUUAAUGAUUCAUGAUUCAUUAUUCAUCCGAGCCAAUUGUAAGGUUUCUAGGAAGAGUAUCAACAUAAAAAAAAACUGGUUGGUAUCUACAUAAAAUAGGGAAAAUAUAUUAAAAAUUCAAUAAAAAAUAAAAGCAUUCUUUAUUUUUUUUAAUGAGCGUGUUCAUCUGAGUGUUGGGUGUCUUAUUUUGGAAGUUUUUCGAUACUAUUUAUUAGUCCAAAAAGAAAAGUUUCAUUUUAUUUUAGAGUCAAAAUUAUAAAAUUAUUGACCACUUCUAUUUUUUAUGAUCAUACAGAUAAAUAUUGACCACUUUUUUAUAUUAUUUUACAAACUACUCAAUCAAUCUGAACUCUGGAUAACUCACAUAAUAUCUUUUGAUGACAACUUCUUUAUAUAUUCUAUCGUUUUCUACAACUAAAAGCAAAUAAAAAAAUAUAUAUAUAAUUAACUAUCAUGUUACUUGCUCCAUCACUAACAAAAAAAAAUCUAGCAAGAAACAUAUUUGAAGAUUGAAUUGCUACAUGAUGCAAAUCGACUCAUUUUUUAUUCCUUUUUUUGUUUAUCUUCAUCUGCUGAUACCAUAAAAAAUGGUAUUUGCAAAAUGGUGUUAGAUGUUCGAGGUACUAAGUGAAUGCCAGUUGAUAUCAAGAACAAAUAUCAUAAUUGUGUUCAACAAAAACCCAAAAUCAACAUCAAGAUAGCCUUGAAGAAAAAAGUAAGCACACAGAAACUAUAUAUAUAUAUAUAUAGAAAAUGGUGAAAAAAAUGAAGGAAAAGAAGAAAACAGUAACAAAAAUAGUAUAAAAUGCAAAGCAAUAGGUUGGAGUGAUGUAGAAAACAAACCUAUGAAUAAAUAAAAAAGACGAACGCGUUAAUUGUGUGUAUGUCGUCUUUCUAGUUUCUGCAACAGAUAGAAAGAGGGAGGCGAAGAAGGAGCGGCGAUUCUCUUAAUUCCUGAAAGCAAGGGUAGAAAUUAGGUUUUUUUCAUCAAAAUUUAGAAAUAAACACCAGAAAUCGAAACAUAACAAAUCAAUUAUAAGUCGUUGUACGGAGAAACAAAUAACUGAGUGGGAGAAGGAGAGCCCUAAGGUGAAAUGCAAGAAAUAUGAAGAAAGGGAAAGAGACGAAAUAGAUUAGUGCUUGUGGUUGUGAUCAUAAGAUGAAAGGGAUUUAAGGUUACAUAAGAAGGAAUCAAAGAGAUAAGAUUGUGGAUUGUUUGCGCAUAGAGACAUGGCAAGAAAAAUUGUAUCUAGAUUCGAGGUCGUAGAAGGGAGAAUCGAUAGAAUCGCUAUGAAAGAAGAUGUACGCAACAUUGAAAUUAGUGGAAGAAUCUUUAUUAUGUAACUUUCAGCACCAUUGAUCUUCAUAUUUUAUUCCCUGCAAUAAAUUGAAAUGAAAAUAAUGACUGUGUUCGUGAUUUUCAAACCAGAACAAAAGAAACGGGUAAUGAGGGGUGGGGUUGACCAAAUGAUGAUGUUAUUAAUAAAUUUUCUAAUUUUAAAAAUAAUUUUAUUUUUGGUGAGAUUUAAUUGUCAUUAAUAGAUUUCCUAAUUUUAAAAAUAAUUUUAUUUUUGGUGAGAUUUAAUUGUCAUUAAUAGAUUUCCUAAUUUUAAAAAUAAUUUUAUUUUUGGUUAGAUUUAAUUGUAAUUAAUAGAUUUCCUAAUGUUAAAAGUAAUUGUCAUUAAUAGAUUUCAUAAAAUUGGUGGAACAAAAAAAAAGAUUGAGCAAAUGAUGAUGUCAGCAUAACCAUCUAACGGUAGAAAAUAUAUAAAUGGAACACAAUCAAUGACCCUGAUUAUUGAAAAUGAUGUCACAAAGUUUCUGGAUGACUCACAUAAUAUCUUUUGAUGACAACUUCUUUAUAUAUUUUAUCGUUUUCUACAACUAAAAGCAAAUAAAAAAAAGAUAUAUUUAACUAUCAUGUUACUUGCUCCAUCACUAACAAAAAAAAUCUAGCAAGAAACAUAUUUGAAGAUUGAAUUGCUACAUGAUGCAAAUCGACUCAUUUUUUAUUCCUUUUUUUGUUUAUCUUCAUCUGCUGAUACCAUAAAAAAUGGUAUUUGCAAAAUGGUGUUAGAUGUUCGAGGUACUAAGUGAAUGCCAGUUGAUAUCAAGAACAAAUAUCAUAAUUGUGUUCAACAAAAACCCAAAAUCAACAUCAAGAUAGCCUUGAAGAAAAAAGUAAGCACACAGAAACUAUAUAUAUAUAUAUAUAGAAAAUGGUGAAAAAAAUGAAGGAAAAGAAGAAAACAGUAACAAAAAUAGUAUAAAAUGCAAAGCAAUAGGUUGGAGUGAUGUAGAAAACAAACCUAUGAAUAAAUAAAAAAGACGAACGCGUUAAUUGUGUGUGUAUGUCGUCUUUCUAGUUUCUGCAACAGAUAGAAAGAGGGAGGCGAAGAAGGAGCGGCAAUUCCCUUAAUCCCUGAAAGCAAGGGUAGAAAUUAGGUUUUUUUUCUCAAAAUUUAGAAAUAAACACCAGAAAUCGAAACAUAACAAAUCAAUUAUAAGUCGUUGUGCGGAGAAACAAAUAACUGAGUGGAAGAAGGAGAUCCCUAAGGUGAAACGCAAGAAAUAUGAAGAAAGGGAAAGAGACGAAAUAGAUUAAUGCUUGCGGUUGUGAUCAUAAGAUGAAAGGGAUUUGAGGUUACAUAAAGGAGGAAUCAAAGAGAUAAGAUUGUGGAUUGUUUGCGCAUAUAGACAUGGCAAGAAAAAUUGUAUCUAGAUUCGAGGUCGUAGAAGGGAGAAUCGAUAGAAUCGCUAUGAAAGAAGAUGUACGCAACAUUGAAAUUAGUGGAAGAAUCUUUAUUAUGUAACUUCCAGCACCAUUGAUCUUCAUAUUUUCUUCCCUGCAAUAAAUUGAAAAGAAAAUAAUGACUGUGUUCGUGAUUUUCAAACCAGAACAAAAGAAACGGGUAAUGAGGGGUGGGGUUGACCAAAUGAUGAUGUUAUUAAUAAAUUUUCUAAUUUUAAAAAUAAUUUUAUUUUUGGUGACAUUUAAUUGUCAUUAAUAGAUUUCCUAAUUUUAAAAAUAAUUUUAUUUUUGGUGAGAUUUAAAUGUCAUUAAUAGAUUUCCUAAUUUUAAAAAUAAUUUUAUUUUUGGUUAGAUUUAAUUGUAAUUAGUAGAUUUCCUAAUGUUAAAAGUAAUUGUCAUUAAUAGAUUUCAUAAAAUUGGUGGAACAAAAAAAAAAGAUUGACCAAAUGAUGAUGUCAGCAUAACCAUCUAACGGUAGAAAAUAUAUAAAUGGAACACAAUCAAUGACCCUGAUUAUUGAAAAUGAUGUCACAAAGUUUCUGGAUGACUCACAUAAUAUCUUUUGAUGACAACUUUUUUUAUAUAUAUUCUAUCGUUUUCUACAACAAAAAGCAAAUAAAAAAAAGAUAUAUUUAACUAUCAUGUUACUUGCUCCAUCAUUAACAAAAAAAAUCUAGCAAGAAACAUAUUUGAAGAUUGAAUUGCUACCUGAUGCAAAUCGACUCAUUUUUUAUUCCUUUUUUUGUUUAUCUUCAUCUGCUGAUACCAUAAAAAUGGUAUUUGCAAGAUGGUGUUAGAUGUUCGAGGUACUAAGUGAAUGCCAGUUGACAUCAAGAACACAUAUCAUAAUUGUGUUCAACAAAAACCCAAAAUCAAUAUCAAGAUAGGCUCGAAGAAAAAAGUAAGCACACAGAAACUAUAUAUAUAUAUAUAUAGAAAAUGGUGAAAAAAAUGAAGGAAAAGAAGAAAACAGUAACAAAAAUAGNAAAAAAAAUGAGGGAAAAGAAGAAAACAGUAACAAAAAUAGUAUAAAAUGCAAAGCAAUAGGUUGGAGUGAUGUAGAAAACAAGUCUAUGAAUAAAUAAAAAAGACGAACGCGUUAAUUGUGUGUGUAUGUCGUCUUUCUAGUUUCUGCAACAGAUAGAAAGAGGGAGGCGAAGAAGGAGCGGCAAUUCCCUUAAUCCCUGAAAGCAAGGGUAGAAAUUAGGUUUUUUUUCUCAAAAUUUAGAAAUAAACACCAGAAAUCGAAACAUAACAAAUCAAUUAUAAGUUGUGCGGAGNUAUAAGUCGUUGUGCGGAGAAACAAAUAACUGAGUGGAAGAAGGAGAUCCCUAAGGUGAAACGCAAGAAAUAUGAAGAAAGGGAAAGAGACGAAAUAGAUUAGUGCUUGCGGUUGUGAUCAUAAGAUGAAAGGGAUUUGAGGUUAGAUAAAGGAGGAAUCAAAGAGAUAAGAUUGUGGAUUGUUUGCGCAUAGAGACAUGACAAGAAAAAUUGUAUCUGGAUUCGAGGUCGUAGAAGGGAGAAUCGAUAGAAUCGCUAUGAAAGAAGAUGUACGCAACAUUGAAAUUAGUGGAAGAAUCUUUAUUAUGUAACUUCCAGCACCAUUGAUCUUCAUAUUUUCUUCCCUGCAAUAAAUUGAAAAGAAAAUAAUGACUGUGUUCGUGAUUUUCAAACCAGAACAAAAGAAACGGGUAAUGAGGGGUGGGGUUGACCAAAUGAUGAUGUCAUUAAUAAAUUUUCUAAUUUUAAAAAUAAUUUUAUUUUUGGUGAGAUUUAAUUGUCAUUAAUAGAUUUCCUAAUUUUAAAAAUAAUUUUAUUUUUGGUGAGAUUUAAAUGUCAUUAAUAGAUUUCCUAAUUUUAAAAAUAAUUUUAUUUUUGGUUAGAUUUAAUUGUAAUUAGUAGAUUUCCUAAUGUUAAAAGUAAUUGUCAUUAAUAGAUUUCAUAAAAUUGGUGGAACAAAAAAAAAAGAUUGACCAAAUGAUGAUGUCAGCAUAACCAUCUAACGGUAGAAAAUAUAUGAAUGAAACACAAUCAAUGACCCUGAUUAUUGAAAAUGAUGUCACAAAGUUUCUCUUUUAAUAAUAUUUAAAGAUUUGUUUGGAUCUAUUUAUAAUUUGAAUCUACAGCUAAUUAAGGAGAUAAAUACAGGAUAAUGAUAAUAACAAUUUCACAUAUGGGUUUGAAUAUGUAUCGAUAAUGUGGAGGUGGCAGCUUAUAUCUUAAUAUGUUUCUGCAAAAUGGACGAUCCAGAGAGAAGACCAAUCUUGGAUAUUAAGUAAUGAGCCAGUGAUUCAGAGAGGUUUGGUAAUGCAUUGGCUAACUGGUCAUCACAUGCGAUAUGUUGAAACUCGAAGAGUUCCUUGUUAAGCUUUUUCUCGUACAUAGUGGAAAUCCAAGGCAAGGUGUGCGUGAAAGAAAAAUUGGAUUUGCAGAGUACGAAGUUGCACUCAAAUUGUCACAAUAAAUAGAGGAGGUUGUAUUUGAUGAGAAACCAUGCUCACUAAGAAGUGAGAUAUUCCAUUGGACCUCAGUGUAGGGAUGAGCAUCGAAACAGGGUACUCGCUUUCAGAAUCAAAACUAACUCGGAAUUGUUGGUUCCAGAUUCGAAAUUGCCUUAAGUAGUUCUAGUUCUAGUUCUUAUUUUUACGGAAUUGCUACCCGUUGGGUACCCGCUAGAAUUUUAGAAUUUUAAGUAAUUUUUUUAAACCUUUAAAUAUCAAUGAGUAAUUUUCACUUUGAAUUUAAACUAUUCGGUUUCAAAAUGAAUUUGUAGAUAGUGGACAUAAUGUACUAUUAUGUUCAAGCUAGAUUUUAAAUCAUAAAAUAUGACAAAAUUGCAAAAAUGGUCCCUGUGGUUUGCAAAAUUCUACAGUUUUAGUUCAAAACGAAAUGUUGGUGCACCACUAGUCCGAAAUUGGAUAUUUCUAUUGUUUUUUGUCCCUAUCAACAUAAAAAGACUAUUAUACCCUUAUAUAUAUAUUAAUUUUGUUUUUAUAUUUAAUCAAAUGUUUUUCUUUAAUUAAAAUUGAGAAAAAUCUCUCUCUCUCUCUCCCUCUCUCUCUCUCUCCAGAUAAAAACCCAUCAACCGGUUCUAAACUCUCUUUCACGAUUCCUUUCCUCUGUUCCUCACCAAAAACCCAUCAACACCAGCACCAUCAUCACCUUUGACAUUCACCUUCAUCGUCCUGUCACCAUUAGAACCUAAUUCCACAUUGCUCACCAAGAAAAACAAAUUUUUUUUUAUCAAGAACAACAUCAGCAUACUCUAAACCUCCGAUUGCUGUUAUAAGAUACAAAUACUUAAAGAAAGAGAAAUGGCCAAUUAUAUAUCAAUGAGCUCCUUCAUCGUCUUUAGAUCCCCUUAUUCUUCAAUUUCAUCAGCAUUAACUUCAUUUCGCACAAACACCUCAUCAGAAACCCUAAUUUCAUCGUCCGAUUCUGGAGUCUCUUGGUGAAUCCCAAUCACUGAUUCAUAUUCGAAUGGGAGAAAAUUUCCUCAAUGGGUCGAUUCCAAAAGGGAUUUUCAGUUUGCCUCAUCUCUCACAGGUUGAACUUCAGAACAAUCUUCUAUCUGGUGAAUUCCCGAUGACAGAUUAUGUUUCAACGAAUCUCAAUCAAUUUUCUGGUGUGUAGAAGCUUUUACUCGAUGGUAACAAGUUUAACGGCAACAUUCCCGACGAAAUAGGCAAACUACAGCAACUAUCCAAGAUCGAUUUCAGCCACAACAGUUUAUCCAACGAAAUCGCUCCUGAAACUAGCCAAUGUAAACUUUUAACAUAUAUCGAUCUCAGCCGUAACCAGAUCUCCGGCGAAAUCCCAACAGAAAUCACAGGCAUGCACAUUCUAAAUUACUUUAACGUCUCUCCUAAUCAUCUCAUCAGAAGUAUUCCAACAUCCGCAACGUCAAUACAAAGCUUAACAUCCGUCGAUUUCUCCUACAACAACCUCUCUGGUCUUGUCCCCGGCACCAAUCAGUUCAUUUACUUCAAUUACACUUCAUUUUUGGCUAACGCGGAUCUCUAUGGACCAUAUUUAGGAGAGGGUGGUGUUGGGUAAGGGUUUGAUAAGAGUGUAGAUGGCCGGAAACUGGGAUGACGAUCUUAGGUUUCCAAUUCCAAAUCUAAGAACUGUUUCAUAUUAGGUUAAUUUGAGAGAGAGAGAGAGAGGAUGUUUAUUAAUAAUAAUACAUUAAAUUAAAUACAAAAAAAUGUAUCAGAAGGGCAUAUUCGUCAUUUCAGGUUGGGUCUUGACUAAAAACACACAAAAAUGUUAACUAAAGGGACCAAAACCACACAAGAUAUCUAAAAUUGGACUAGUGGUGCACCAACAUUUCGUAUUGGACCAAAACUACAAUUUUUUUGGGUAUUUUAGCUAUGGAUUUCAGUUGUUUGAAAUUUUUAUAUCAAAAGUGUAAAUUUAAGAUACAUGAAAUUAGUGGAGUUUAUUUAUAGCUUUUAAGAACUUUGUACAUAUUUUUUUCAUCAUGUUAUUCAAGUUGCUGAUAUUUUCUAAUCCUCAUUUCUAAUACAUAGCGAAUUACGUAUUGAUGUUAUUGAAAACUUUCUUGUAAGAUUUGUUAAUAUAAUUAAAGUGACCCUUUGAGAUAUAUGAGUUUGGUGGUUUCCGAGAUUAUUGUCCAUCCGAACUAGUGAAGAUUUCGAGAACGAGGAAUGUCUGAAGUUAGAGAAUGACAUAAAAGGAUUCAAGACUUGUACUUUUUGUCUUGCUAUAUUUGUCGUAUUUUAUGUAAUAGUUUUAUGAGACAAGAUCAACCGCAACACAUUGUCAGACGGUUGAUCUGCGGUCCACGUUUAGUAAUUGUGUCUCUUGUUGUCCUUUAGCUCUUUAGCCACUAUAAAUAGGAGCAUACCACAUCUUGCAACAACACAUAUUUAUUAAUAAAAUCACAUCUAUCAUGCUCGUAUUCCAUUAUUCUGCUUGUUCAUUAUAUUUACUUUAUUUUGACAUUGCACUGAAUAUUUGAUUGUUGUUCUUCAUUAUUCAAGGUUUGACUGGUUUUACCAUACUUGACUGAGAAUCUGUUAUAUGCUUCCAUUGUUGUGAUUAAAUCAAGGUUUAAGUAUUCAAACCUUGUCCAAAUUUAUCCUUUAGAUAACUUUUGUUCUUUCAAUUGGUAUCAGAGCAUGAGUGGUUGUCCUUUAAAUCCAAAAGAUCAGAUUAUCAUUGAUUAAGAAUACCUAGGGUUCUUAAUCUCUAACACCCAGAAAUUUCAAACCAAUUUAAACUUUUAAAAACAUAUCAAGUGCGUCAAAUCAUUACAACUUUGUUUUCAAAAUAUUAUUUAUCAAAGUAUAUCCCAGAAACAUAAACAAAAAGUGAGGAGCUAUACGAUCAUGCCUUCGCCUUGCCGCGAUCCCCUGAUGUACAUGAAACAAUAAACUGAGAACUGUAAGCCUGAAAGCUUAGUGAGUUACCCCCAAAAUACCGAUACACAUACAGUCCACAUAAUCAUAUCAUAACAAACUGAACAGAACAACACAUAACGGGUCCACAGCCCUACAGACUGUAAUACCCACGAGCCCAUAGUACGAGACUCCCUCAUCCCGUAACUGGAAUGCUCUCGAGCCCACAUUACGACUCUCCCUUAGCCCGUAACUGGGACGUUCCUAGGGUUUGUUGGCUACCGCACAAAGUACAACCCAUCCCAUAUGACAAACACAUAAAUCACAAGAGUCGAGCAUGCAAUAAUCACACAACAUCACAGGUAGUCCUACAGACCUACCUAACAGGCAUAACCACUAGCAUGCAAGACUAAGUCAUAUGUAACGCCCGUAGAUCCGGGCUAGUCAAUUUAGAGAUAAUAGGGGUCGAAAACGAAUUUUUGACAAAAUAUUAUUUAGAAUAAAUAAUCUUAACCAAGUUUUAGAAUACAUCUCAAGGGUUCCGUACAUAUAAAGAACGUUGAAAUCCGAGUUAUAACGAAAAAGUUAGGGUCCGUCGAAGUUUUAUGGCAAAACCGGCACGACACCGGGAGACGUAAAUAGUGAAUUUACAAUGGAGGACUUUUUUUAGCCUUAGAAAUAUAAAAAAAAUUUAGUAUACGUUAAACCGAGAACAUAUAAAAAACGAACGCCCAAAUCUGACUUCGUAUGAGGAAGUUAUGAAUUUUCUAAGAUUUGGCUUAGCAGUGCACAACCCGAAACUCGAAUUUUUGAUAGAGAGGUUUUUGGCCUAUGUGACCUAAAUGAGAAUUGAAUAUCUCAUUAAUAGGAACUCAACGGUAAAAAGACAGACGAAAACAGAGUCCGUAUGUAGAAGUUAUGAAUUUUACGCGAACAUUUAACAGUAUAAUGUCCUCAUACUGUUAAAUUUAAGAUCGGUCGAGAAUUAGCCGACGGAGUCAAAAUGAAAGUUGUAGAUCUUAUUUUUACCUACGUGUGUAUAUAAGUAACGUAAAAAACGGAGCUUGUAUGUGAAAGUUAUGGAUUUUAGAAGUCGGAAGUGUGUUGUGCGAAANCCUAGGGAACCUCCCUAGCAUGAGGCGGAAGCCCCGGAGUGCUCGACGACUCCGAGAAGAAGAGUUUUUUAGCUCGGGAACUUUGCUUCAAGCAAAGCCGGUUUUCCAUAAUACCCGUUGAAAGUGAGCUACGCAUACGCUAUUUUUAAUAUAGCUUUUAUUUAAUUAUAGUAACGUUAUUAGGAACUUAUGUACUUGAGCUAUUAUUAUGGGUUAUAUAAGUAUUGUUUAACGCUUAUAUAAUAGUAAUAAUAGCUAGACUAUUAAUUAGUCUCAACGAAUAAUAGACUAAACUCUAGUGGUAAUAAUACUAGGUUUCGUCGAAGGAAAUUAUUUUUUUAAGAAGCGAAGCGCUGUCUGAGUUCGGAAUCACCACAUUUUCAAGUAGGGGUGAGCAUAAUAACCGAAAAACCAAACCAAAACCAAAUUAACCAAUAUAACCGAACCAUUUUAAAAACCGUUGGUUCGGUUUCUAAUUUUUGUUAACUGAUAACUAACGGUUCGGUUAUGGUUUUAUAGGUUAACCGAACCAUUAUUAACCGAAUCGCUAACUUUAUAUUUUAAUAUAUAAAAAAUAUAGAUUAUAUAUAAAAUAAUAUAGUCAAACUUAAUUAAGGCCCAUUAAAUUUUCAAAAUAUAAUUCAUUAAUCCUCACUUAUUAGGAGACGAACGAACAAUCAAACCAUCAAAGACUGAUCAAACAGACACACACAAUCUUCCAAUCAUGUAUUGAGUUAGAUUAUUGAUUAAUGUUAUAAUUCCUAAUCGGCUAAUUCUACCAUUUGUAAACAUUAUUCAUAAUUAGUUUAAUCUUCACACUCAUAAUCCUAAUUGGAGGCUUCUCACACCGUUAAUCCUAAUCGAAGAUUAUUUUGACUUUAUAGUCCCGUUCGAAGGAUUUUUUUUGAUUUUAUAAUCAAGACUACUACGUAAGUUAAAUUUUUGGUUCUUCUUGACUUUGUGAUUUGUUUUUUUUUUUUUUAAUUUUUUGGCUUUUUUAUUUACUAUUUAUGACUUAAUCACAUUGAAUAUAUAUGAGUGAUUGUAUUUAUUUUAUCCAGAUAACACAUAAUAUGAAUGUUUGUCUAUUUUAUUUUAUAGUUUUUGAUUUAAUCGCAUUGAACGUAUAAGAAUGUUUGGCUUUAUUUUAAUGUUAAUAUCAAUUAUCAAUAUAUGAAUUAUUAAUGUCAAUUUUGUUUAAUGUUUUAUAUUUUUGUUGAAUGUUUAUUUAUUUUAAAUGUGACUGUAUGUUAUCUCACUUUGAGUAUUGAAGGUACACAUUUUAUUGUAUUACUAUAAGUUAGGUUACUAACAUUGGCGCCGAAGACUUUUUUUGUAUUCUCUUUUCAAUUUUUAUGUCAAUAUACUUUCACCGUUUAUAUUAUUUUGAACAUUAUGGUUAACCAAUAUUAACCAUUAACCAAAAUCGUUAACCGAAAAAAACCAUUAACCAUAACCAAAAUUAACCAUACCCAAUGGAAACCAAAAUGCAUUAACCAAUCGUAAUGGUUAUGGUUCGGUUUUGACCAAUAACCGAACCAAACCGCCCCAUACACACCCCUAUUUUCAUGUGAGUGCAUAGUUACUUUCAUCUUACACAUAGAUAUGAAGUAUUUAAUAUAAAUUACGUGCUAUGUGUGAAUAUUGUCUGAAUGCUUGCUGUCUAUGCUGGGUGAAAUAUUUUUAUACAUGUUUUAAAUGAUUUAAACUGUAUAUGUAUUUUAUAUCUACAAAAUAUGUUGGGUAAAACAUGGGUAGAUGUAAUAGUUUUUAUGUGACCAAAUAAAAUAAUGAGAGGCCUCAAUAUAGAUGUUAUUGAUUGAUAUGUGCAUAAUUAGUUAAUUAUUUAGCAUACAUUUUUAUUCAUUUUUAACUAAUUAUGUGUAUAAUGUGGACAAAAGGUACUUAAUAAUGUUUAAAUUUUGUUUUCAGUCCAAAAGACAUGCUUGGGAGUGAAAGGGAACAAGGGGAAGAAUUAGAGACCAAAGAAUGAAGAAUGAGGGAUAAAAGCCUUCCUACUCGGCGAGUUCACGAGCCUACUCGGCGAGUCCAUUAGAAUAUUCCAGAAGAUAAGUCAAGACUCCUGGUAUGAGACGAAUAACUAGCAUCUACUCGACGAGUUGGGUCUGCUACUCGCUGAGUACACCAUGUUUUGUGAUAAUUAUAAAUACCAAACUAUUAUCCGUUUGGAAGGGACUUUUGGCGAUUUUGAGAGCUGAAUCUGCGAUUGAAGAACCCUUGGAGGAGCUAAGGAACCCUAAUCUUCAAUCCUUGGAAGAAUCAAGGUAACUAGGUUAAUCAUUCCACUUAGCUUUAGGAAUUAAGUAUGUUUAGCUUAGUUAAAUAUGCUUUUGAGUUUGUUUUUAUCAUGACUAUGAACUAAAUUCAUUUUGUUUAUGUUGGGGAAGACUAAUUUACUCCUAUGGUUUAUAAUAUACUUUUUGAUUGAUUGUUAUUUGGUGAUUUUAAUAAAUUAAGUUUGUUAAAGAACCUUAUGCAUUAAUGACAACUAUUUUCUGUUAAUUGGGAGGUAAUUAAGCUGCAUGAACAUCUCUUAAUUAUUAACCUCAUAUGUUAUGUGAACACUUGAUCAUAUGCUUAAGAGUAAUGAAUAUGAAAUUAAGAUUAAUUAGAGAAUGGGUAAAUUAAUGUGUGAGAUUGUUUGAGAAACCAACAAACAAGAGGUUAAUUGAAACACCAACUUGAUUAACCAAUUACAAAUCUUAUUUAAUCCAAAUAAUUAAACUUGGGAAUUAAUUAGUUUAAACAAUUGGCCACUGCUUGAAUUGAUUAAUUGUCUAAGGGUUAGGAGUAAUGAACAUGAACCUAACCCCUAUAGUUGGUAACCAAUAAUAAUUAAUUUAUCAUUUAAAUAACCAUAGGAGUGAAUUAGUUGAACCUAAACAGAAACCUUUUAAUAAAUUUGGUGAAUUUGUCAUUUGCUUUAAUUGUUUAGUUAGUUAAUUGUUUUAAGUGCUAUGUUUAAGUUUAUAGUCUUGUAAAACUAGAGAAAAAAAAACCUUUACUUUUAUUACUUGUUUAGUUAAAACUAGUUAUUAGAUUAAUUUCCGUUCCCUGAGUUCGACACCCUACUUAUCCAACUAUACCACUAAAAGACAGGUUCACUGCCUUUGUGUGCUUAAUUUUUUUUUAACUAAAAGUAGGAUUAAAACUAGUUCGUUUUACACACAUCAUUGAUGAUCCAGUCAUCUAGCGGAGUAUAGAUGACGACCACGGACAAUGCUAGACAGUCCAGUGGAACACUAGCAGGCUCGCAACCUGUAGGUGUUUAUUUGAACUGUGUGCUCACCAGCAGUACUCCAUCCCCCACAUGGUUGCCUUAUUUGGCAUGAAUUGCUGAGGAACCCCCCGAAGCAUGUGUUGUCACCCCGAUGAAAGUCCUUAGACUAGGUCCCUUGUGUUAUAUGUUUUAGGGACGUAAAGUGAGGAUAACAGGAACGGGUAAUUGAGUUUGUUUGGUUUGAUAAAGUUAAUAAACUAUUUAUUAUGAGUUGAAAACCCUAUGUACUCACCAGGUUUCCCAACCUGACCCACUCAGUUUAUUUAUAUCACAGGUGUUGAUAUGAAGUCACAUUACACUAAGAGAUUAAGGAGAUAUAAAUCACUAGUGAUAAUGAAUGUAAGUUCUAUUUAUGAUUAUGUUUCUGUAUUGACGAUGACAUCCCAAAUGUUUUAAAAUGAAUCUAAAUACUUUUCUUCGGAAAUGCUUUGAUAACGUAUUUAUCAUGUUUUACUGGGAACAAAUUCCACAACAUUUUUAUUAAAAGAGGUACUCUGAUUUUUAUAAAGCAUAAACAAAAUCGGUCUUUUUUGGCCGUGAAAAUGGGGAUGUCACAUCAUACUCAACAUCUAACACAAAUCAAGAUAACAUAUCAAAUGGGCCGGCUUUUGUGCCUUAGACCCCUUAGUAUAGUGAAGAUAACUCACCUCGCAAUUGUCGUCUGAAACUAGAAAGCUCAACUCCCGGAUCACCAACACGAACUCCACCACCUAAAGUUACCAUAAAACCCUUUUUCAUAAAUCUCCAAAUUACCAGAAUACCUUUAGAAGUCAACUGGUCAACUCUUGGUCAAAGUCGAACCCACAGUCAAAUUCAACAGUCCAUGUUGACUCGACUCGCCGAGUGUAGGUCACCGACUCGUCGAGUCCUUCCUGAACUCCAGAAGUCGUGAAAUCCUUGAUUGGCUCGUCGAGUUCCCAUUUAACUCGCCGAGCUCAUACGUGUCCAAGAAUUUGGGAGAAACCCUAGCCGACUCGCCGAGUCUUCGAACAACUUGCCGAGUUCAAGGAAAUCUUCAACGGACUCGUCGAGUUCGUUCAUCAACUCGGCGAGUUCAUGACCAUCUUCAUAUGACUCGCCGAGUUGACUAUGCAACUCGUCGAGUCCUUGCAGACCUUCAUCCAUGCAGACACUUUUUAAGUCAUGCCAAGGUUCCAAAUUACAGAUCCAAGCUCCUAAGUCAUGUUUAUCACGUAAAUUUGCAAACUUUACGCGCAUGCAAGGCCCUAAAGGCUCUAAAUGACCAAUCUAAGCUUCUAAUGGAGCUUUACACCUUAGGAGAGUCUCAUCCUUGCAAGAGCUGGAAACUUUAUGGACUUAGGACUCAAAAGAGGUUCAGAUCUGAAGUUUCAACUUCAGUCUAGCUUCCAUACCAAAAAUCCCUUCAUGAAUAACUAAAGAAAGCCCUAGUUUCCACAUAUGAAUGAUUCUAUACGCAAAAGAGGUUAAGGUAACAGCUGGUUACCUCCAAAACGUGCCCACACUGAAGUAGAAUCUGGAUCCACACAGAAGUCUUGAUGCUAGCCUCUUGUUCUACAAAUUUCCUUCCCAAAAGUCGCUUCCCACAGCUCCAAAACACUCUCCAAGCUCUCACUCACGGAAAUUAGGGUUUCUGGGUCUUGAGGGUUGAUAAAGGACAGUGGGAGGCGCUAAUGGUCCAAUAUAUAUGGUGUAAAAACCCUAAAAAUCAGGUUUUCCACUGCCUGCUCCUACUUGUCGAGUCCCCCAUGCUGACUCGGCGAGUCACUCAUUAAUUGACGUGUCCUGGCCCGCUGCUACUCGACGAGUCACAACGUCAACUCGUCGAGUAGACUUUAAAACAGGAAAUUUAAAUGGAGUGAUAAUGAUACCUGACGGUUGGGAUGUUACAAUUCUCCCCCACUUGACUUAGACUUCAUCCUCGAAGUCUGCUGCAACGAAUAACUUCGGGUAAUGCUCCUGCAUCUCAGCCUCUGGCUCCCAUGUCCACUCGUAUCCCCUCCGAUGCUCCCAUUGUAUCUUCACCAACGGAACCUCCUUUUUGCGCAGUACUUUCAAUUUCCUUUCCAAAACAGCAAUCGACUUUUCUAUAUAAUUCAGGCGCUCAUCUACAUGAAUGUCAUCCAGUGGCACCACUGCAUCCGGCUCCACAAUGCACUUCCGUAACUGCGAAACGUGGAAAGUACUGUGGAUCCGACUAAUCUCCUCUGACAGCUCUAACCUGUAAGUCACCUUGCCAACCCUGGCAAUGAUCCUGAAUGACCCAAUAUAGUGGGGACCCAAUUUUCCCCUAUUCUAGAAGCGGAUCACACCCUUCCAGGGCGAGACCUUUAGGAGUACCAUAUCACCAACCUGAAACUCUAACUCGGAUCGGCGUCAGUCAGCGUAACUUUUCUGCUGACUAUGAGCGGUCUGCAUCCGCUGCCUAACCUGCUGAAUCUUCUUGGUAGUCUGCAAAACUGUAACGCUCGUAGAUCCGGGCAAGUCAAUUUAGAGAUAAUAGGGUUCGAAAACGACUUUUUGAAAAAAGAUUAUUUAGAAUAAAUAAUCUUAACCAAGUUGUAGAAUAUGUCUCAAGGGUCCCGUACAUCUAAAGAAUGCCGAAACCCAAGUUAUAACGAAGAAGUUAUGGCUCAGCGAAGUUUUUUGGCAAAACCGGCAUGGCACCGGGAGACGUAAAUAGUGAAUUUAAGAUAGAGGAAUUUUUAGCCUUAGUGAUAUAAACAAAAUUUGUAGUAUAUGUUAAACCGAGAACAUACAAAAAAAGAACGCCCAAAUCUGACUUCGUAUGAGGAAGUUAUGAUUUUUCUAAGAUUCAGCUUAGCAGUGCACGACCUGAAACUCGAAUUUUAGUUUGAGCGGUUUUUGGCUUACACGACCUAAAUGAGAUUUGAAGAUCUCAUUAAUAGAAACUCAACAGUAAAAAGACAGACGAAAAAGGAGUCUGUAUGAAGGAGUUACGAAUUCUCCGCGGUCAUUUAACAGUCUAAACUCCUCCUACUGUUAAAUUUAAGAUCGGUCGAGAAUUAGCUGAAGAAGUCUAAAUGAAAGUUGUAGAUAUUAUUUUUACCUAUGUGUGGAUAUAAAGAACGUAGAAAACGGAGCUCGUAUGCGAAAGUUAUGAAUUUUUGAAAAUCGGCUAAUUUCCACCCUGUGUGCGAUGCCACGUGUCAGCACCAGGCUGUGCCUGGCUGUACCCAGCUGGCCACGACUUUGGCUUCAAAUGGCCAUGAUGUGGGAGCCUCUUCAGCCUCCUAUAAAUAGAGACGCCCAUCUCCUUCAUUCUUCACACCUUAACCCUUCAUCUCUCUCUCUCUCUCUAUACUAUCUCUCUCUAGGCCCCGAAACCCCCCGAAAAGCCUAGGGAACCCCCUAGCACGAGGCGGAAGCCCCAAAGUGCCCGAUGGCCCCGAGAAGAAGAGUCAUUCGGCUCGGAAACUCUGCUCCAGCGAAGCCCGAUUUUGCGAAAAACCCGUUGUAAGUGAGUUAUGCCUACACUAUCUUUAGUAUAGCUUAUGUUUCAAUAUAGUAAUGUUAUUAUGACCUUAUAAGGAGUAUUUGGGCUAUUAUUAUGGGUUAUAUAUGUAUUGUUUAACGCUUAUAUAAUAGUAAUAAUAACUAGACUAUUAAUUAGUCUCAUCAAACGUUAGACUAAACUCUACUGGUAAUGAUACUAGGUUUCGUCAAUGGAUAAUUGUUUUAAGAGUAACGAAGUGUUGUCCGAGUGCCGACUCACCACCUUACCAGGUGAGUGCAUGGUCCCUUUCAUCUUACACAUUGAUAUGAAGUAUUUUAUAUAAACUACGUGUGAUGUGUGCAUAUUAUCUGUAUAGUUGUUAUCUAUGCUGGAUGAACGAUUUUAUACAAGUUUUAUAUGAUUUAAACUGUAUAUGUAUUUAUAUCUACGUAAUAUGUUGGGUAAAACAUGGGUAGACAAAAUAUGAGUUGGAUGAUUAGUCAAGAGGUGAUAUAGACCAUGAGGUAAGGGUGAGAGGUUGACGAUGUGAGAAGCCUUGUUCCCAAAUGUUGGCCCCGUCAUCUAACAGAGUAUGGAUGACAACCACGUACUAUUCUAGACAGUCAAGUGGAACACUAGCAGGCUCACAACCUGUAGGUGUUGUGAACGAUGUGUUCACCAGUGUACUCUAAAAACCCAUUGACAUGUAUUACGAGUGGACUCUCGAAAACGAUACUGUUAGUAAAUGAGAUAACCCUAGCAGCUGUGCUCGAAGGACAAUACUGGCAGUUGCGCCUCACAUUGACUGUCACAAUUCUGGCAGUUGCGCCUAAGUGAUAGAACUAGCAGCUCUGCUUGACAGUUGUGUCAUUGACAAUGAUGGACUUCGUACCUAUUCCUUAGGAUAAUCCUUAGGAAUGAAUGAAUGAGAAAUAGUUGAUUCUUAGGGUAGAUCCUUAAGAAUAAAGAAGAGAAUGGGGAUGGGUAAUUGGGUUAAUUGUUUGAUGAUUAGACAUAAUAAUUAUAUUAUUGUGGGUUGAAAACCCUAUGUACUUACCAGGUUUCCCAACCUGACCCAUUCAGUUUAUUUGAAUCACAGGUGUCGAUAUGAAAUUACAUUACACUGAGAGAUUUAAAAGAGAUGUAUAUCACUAUUGUAAAUGAAUGUAAGUUCUGUUUAUGCUUAUGUUUCUGUAUUGACGAUGAUAUCCCAAAUGUUUUAAAAGUGAAUGAAAAUACAUUUCUUUAGAAAUGAUUUGAUAACGUAUUUAUCAUAUUUUACUGGGAACAAAUUCCGCAAUAUUUAAUUGAAAGAAGUACUCUGAUUUUUAUAAAGCAUAAACAAAAUCGGUUUUUUAUGGCCGUGAAAAUGGAGAUGUCACAGUUGGUAUCAGAGCAUUAGUUUAAGCGAACUAGGAAUAUGGAUUUAUUUCUUGACUUAAACUUAGAAUGCUAAGCGAUGAUUGUGAGAUGAGUGUCUUCUAUAUUUUAGACACAAGUACUAGUUUAUUUUAGGAAAGAUGCCUAAAAUGUUUUAUGUGCUAAAUGUUUUAUGUUAUAGCUAUAAAGAUGUCUUAUAUGCUAUUAUUUGUUCGGAUCUAUGGUCUGUUGCAUACUGGAUCUGGAAAUUUUAUGUGUUCAGAUUUCAAAACGUUUGAUUAUGGUAUUAGAACUGGCAUAUAACUUUUCGGAGUAAUAAGGAGAUUUAUACGUCUAUCGUAAAUAAGAUCUUUCCUAUCUUAAAUUCUCAUCUCGGUACACCGAACGUCUUCUUGGGUGUAUAAAGCAAGAGGAAGAUGAAAACCUGAGCCUAAGAAUGUGAUGGGUCAUGCAUCGGUCGUUGCGCCUGCACCCGAACCUAUCACAACGGCAGAAGUUCAGGAAGUGAUGUGAACCAUGAUAAACUGAGAAAAUAGAGGAAAUGAGAUGGCUUACGAUACUGAAUGAUACCUAUCGGAAGAUAUCAUAAGAGAGGUAUCUUGCCUUUAGAAUACGUCUGAUAAAAUAGUAGUACGUCUAUAAAAGUAGGGUAUAUCUGAAUGUACACAUUUGAUUGGCAGGAUGAUAGAACGAUUGGUGUAAUUCCUAAAGUUUUCCUAUCAUCUGGAAUUUCCAUCACCAACCGAGUUGAAGCAGAAUUGAUGAUUGAAGAUACGCAUGGAAGAAGUCCUAGUAGAGUCUAGGGAAAUUUUUAUGAUUAUUUGGACACACUCAUAUGUGUUAAAUUGUUUUGUGAUUUUAGGACUUGGGGACUGCGAGAAAAUACUUGGGAUGAGUAUGAGUUGGUGUGAAAGGUAGUAAAUGCAUAUACUACCGGAAGCACAUAACUCACACUUGGAUCAGGGAAAGUCACAAGGUUACCAAGAAGCCAAUAAUUGAUUCCGUUUCAUUCAAGCAUGUCAUUACCAUCGUUUCGGUAAUGACUAAGAAGAUUGUUGUUAUUCCGACCCUAGUGGUCAUAUCAAAUUGAGUCCGACUACGAUGAGUAUGAUACGUGGUUCAGAGAACCAAGUUCGAUGUAGCAUCUGACUUAAACCAGAAGAUUGAAAUGAAAGCUAACCAAGGCGAUCAGUAGAAGUAUCAUGAUGAUUGUUAAAGAAGUUGGUAGCUAGAAAUACUACAUAUUGAAAUUUUAUUGUAUCACAUUAGAACAUAAAAGAAGGUAUAGUCUGUUCUGGAAUUUGACUAUAAAAGACCUGAGUCUGAGCGUUGCAACAUACGAUGAGAGGUCAUUAGAAUAUGAAACAUCGGUCAAUGAUAGUAAUAAAAGAACUUAUCUUAAGUUCGUAUCCAGUGAGGAUCGAGAUUGUGACUUGAAGGUCAUAAUUUGGAGUCUAACGUGAGAUAAGGAGCAAGUGCAAGAUCGAGCACUGCCUGCAGUAAGGAAGUCUUAGAAUUAGAUACUCGUUCGAAGAAACAUCAAAGUUACGGUUAUACUUAGGAUGAAGAGAUAGCGUAUGGAGUCAUCAUGUGAGCCCUGUUUCGUUUAUGAUUUCGGGACGUAAUCAUCCUAAAGGGGAGAUAAUUGUAACGCCCGUAGAUCCGGGCUAGUCGAUUUAGAUAUAAUAGGGGUCGAAAAUGAUAUUUCGACAAAAGAUUAUUUAGAAUAAAUAAUCUUAACCAAGUUGUAGAAUAUGUCUCAAGGGUCCCGUACAUAUAAAGAACGCCGAAAUCCGAGUUAUAACGAAGAAAUUAUGGUCCGUCGAAGUUUUUCGGCAAAAUUCGCACGACACCGGGGGACGUAAAUAGUGAAUUUAAGAUAGAUGAAUUUUUAGCCUUAGUGAUCUAAACAAAAGUUUUAGUAUACAUUAAACCGAGAACAUACAAAAAAAAGAACGCCCAAAUCUGACUUCGUAUGUGGAAGUUACGAUUUUUCUAAGAUUUGGCUUAGCAGUGCACGACCCGAAACUCGAAUUUUAGUUCGAGCGGUUUUUGGCUUACGCGACCUAAAUUAGAUUUGAAUAUCUCAUUGAUAGGAACUCAACGGUAAAAAGACAGACGAAAACGGGGUCCGUAUGAAGGAGUUACGAAUUCUUCGCGAUCAUUUAACAAUCUACACUCCUCCUACUGUUAAAUUUAAGAUCGGUCGACAAUUAGCUGACAGAGUCUAAAUGAAAGUUAUAUAUAUUAUUUUUACCUACGCGUGGAUAUAAAGAACGUAAAAAACGGAGCUCGUAUGCGAAAGUUAUGAAUUUUUGAAAAUCGGUUGAUUUCCAACCUGUGUGCGUUGCUACGUGUCAGCACCAGGCUGUGCCUGGCUGUACCCAGCUGGCCACGACGUGGGAGCCUCUUCAGCCUCCUAUAAAUAGAGACUCACCUCUCCUUCAUUCUUCACACCUUCAUUCCUCUCUCUAUACCCCCCGAAAAGCCUAGGGAACCCCUAGCACGAGGCGGAAGCCCCAGAGUGCCUGACGGCCCCGAGAAGAAGAGUCUUUCGGCUCGGAAACGUUGCUUCAGCGAAGCUCAAUUUUGCGAAAAACUCGUUGUAAGUGAGCUAUGCCUACCUUAUCUUUAGUAUAACUUAUGUUUCAAUAUAGUAAUGUUAUUAGGACGUUAUAAGGAGUAUUUGGGCUAUUAUUAUGGGUUAUAUAAGUAUUGUUUAAUGCUUAUAUAAUAGUAAUAAUAGCUAGACUAUUAAUUAGUCUCGUCAAACAUUAGACUAAACUCUAGUGGUAAUGAUACUAGGUUUCGUCAAGGGAUAAUUAUUUUAAGAGUAACAAAGUGUUGUCAGAGUGCCGACUCACCACCUUACCAGGUGAGUGCAUGGUCCCUUUCAUCUUACACAUAGAUAUGAAGUAUUUUAUAUAAACUACGUGUUAUGUGUGCAUAUUAUCUGUAUAGUUGCUAUCUAUGCUAGAUGAACGAUUUUAUACAAGUUUUAUAUGAUUUAAACUGUAUAUGUAUUUAUAACUACGUAAUAUGUUGGGUAAAACAUGGGUAGACGAAAUAUGAGUUGGAUGAUGAGUUAAGAGGUGAUAUAGACCAUGAGGUAAGGGUGAGAGGUUGACGAUGUGAGAAACCUUGUUCCCAAAUGCUGGCCCCGUCAUCUAGCAGGGUAUGGAUGACAACCACAGACUAUUCUAGACAAUCCAGUGGAACACUAGCAGGCUCGCAACCUGUAGGUGUUGUGAACGAUGUGUUCACCAGUGUACUCUAAAAACCUAUUGACAUGUAUUGCGAGUGGACUCUUGAAAACGAUACUGUCAAUAAAUGAGAUAACCCUAGCAGCUGUGCUCGAAGGACAAUACUGGCAGUUGCGCCUCACAUUGACUGUCACAAUUCUGGCAGCUGCGCCUAAGUGAUAGAACUAGCAGUUGUGCUUGACAGUUGUGUCAUUAACAAGGAUGGACUUCGUACCUAUUCCUUAGGAUAAUCCUUAGGAAUGAAUGAAUGAGAAAUACCUGAUUCUUAGGGUAGAUCCUUAAGAGUAAAGAAGAGAAUGGGGAUGGGUAAUUGGGUUAAUUGUUUGAUGAUUAGACAUAAUAAUUAUAGUAUUGUGGGUUGAAAACCCUAUGUACUCACCAGGUUUCCCAACCUGACCCACUCAGUUUAUUUGAAUCACAGGUGUCGAUAUAAAGUUACAUUACACUGAGAGAUUUAAAAGAGAUGUAUAUCACUAUUGUAAAUGAAUGUAAGUUCUGUUUAUGCUUAUGUUUCUGUAUUGACGAUGACAUCCCAAAUGUUUUAAAAGUGAAUAAAAAUACAUUUCUUUAGAAAUGCUUUGAUAACGUAUUUAUCAUAUUUUACUAGGAACGAAUUCCACAACAUUUUUAUUGAAAGAAGUACUCUGAUUUUUAUAAAGCAUAAACAAAAUCGGUCUUUUCUGGCCGUGAAAAUGGAGACGUAACAAAAACCACCUCCGUCCGACCCAUCACCCUGUGACCAACCUCAUCCCAACAUACCAGGGUGCGACAUCUCCGCCCGUACAACAGCUCGAAUGGCGGGGAGCCAAUGCUGGAAUGAUGGCUAUUGUUGUAGGCGAACUCUGCAAGCUGUAGGUGGGAAUCCCAACUCCCACCGAAAUCGAUGACACACGCCCUUAACAUAUCCUCGAGGGUCUAAAUGGUUCGUUCGCUCUGACCAUCAAUAUGCGGAUGGAAUGUUGUGCUAAAGUGCAACCAUGUGCCCAGCUCCUCGUGAAACUUAUGCCAGAAAUGGGAGGUAAACCUGACAUCCCGAUCGGAGACAAUGGAAACAGGAACCCCAUGGCAAGACACGAUCUCGCAAACGUACACGUCGGCGAAUUUCUUAGCCGAUGAGCUCUCCCGUAUGGCCAAGAAAUGGGCACUCUUGGUCAAUCGAUCCACGAUGACCCAUAUAGCAUCAAACCCCUUCGCCAUCCUCGGCAAUUUGGUAAUAAAAUCCAUCGUGAUCUGUUCCCAUUUCCACAUGGGGAUCUCUAGAGGUUGCAGCUUGCCAUGCGGCCUCUGAUGCUCGGCCUUGACCAUCCUACAGGUCAAGCACCUCUCGAAGUACCAAGCGAUUUCUUGCUUCAUGCAUGGCCACCAAUAACUCUAACUUAAAUCCCAGUAUAUCUUAGUGGCCCCCGAGUAAAUUGAGAAAUGAGACUUAUGAGGCUCCUCCAUGACCGUCUGCCUAACCCCACCAGACAUCGGUACCCAAACCCGACCGCAUCGGGUCAAUAAUCCCCGCCUAUCCUGCUCAAACCGGGUAUUCUCACCCUUGAUCCUCUCCAGCUUCCAGUUCUCCGGUCGCAUGCCCUCAACCUGGGCAUCUCUGAUCAAACUCACAAGUGAAGAGUCCACUGCUAUCCUCAUACAUACCGUUGGGGUGGAAGACCUAGUUGACUUGCAGCUCAAAGCAUCCAUAACCACAUUCACUUUACCAGGAUGGUAAAGGAUCUCGCAGUCGUAGUCCUUGACUAUGUCCAGCCACCCGCGCUGCCUCAUGUUCAGGUUUGGCUGAUCCAUGAUGUGUCUCAAACUCUUGUGAUCUGCAUAAAUGGUACAACUGUUGGAUUAAUGUCUAAGUCCAUAACUAUAUUUGGUAUGUACUUGACCCGACCCGGCAUGGUCCAUUUGGGUUGCACUUCACCGACACAAUUUAUAUGGAUAAUCUUUUGAGAAUAGUAUGUUUAUGAUUAAUAUUAAUAUAUUAUAAGUUCUAAUAUAUUAAUAUGGAAUCAUAUUAUUUAAUUAGUAUUGAUCAAGAAUUAAUUUAUAAUUAAUUAAGUGAUCAAAAGGAACUAAUUAAAUAUGGACUCUUAUAUAUAUGGAAUGGGCCAAGUUCAUUUAGGUUGGGCUAAGCUUUCAUGGAUAGUCCAUGGAGUGUUUAACCCAUGGAUCCUAGGAAAUGAAAGGUCAUGGGUAUUAGGGUUUAACCCUAAUCCUCCAUACUAUAUAAAGAUGUCUUUGGUUGGUGAAAUUGGCACUAGUGUGGAUACACUAAAGAAGGGCUAGCCAAUUUCACUAGAGAGAACCAAGUAAUCAUAUUCUCUAAAGUAUUCCAAGGUGUCUUGGUGAUUUGUGAUUCCACUUGAGGCUUCCACACUAUUGGGGCUAAGCUCUAAAAGCUUAUCAAGCUACAUCAAAAGGUAUGUCUUCUAACUAGUACUUUGUAGAUUAAGAACAUCAUAAUAUGCUAGUUAGGAUUAAAGCCUUGGAUGUUCUUAAUUUGCAUGUAUAAUAGAGAAAACAUAGAUCCAAGGUUUAUAGGGUUGCAUGUACACCAUAGGAGUGUUAGAAUGCUCAAAACCCAACAGUGGUAUCAGAGCCACGGGUUGUUUUCUGUUAUAUUGAUGCAAAUAUUUUAUUUUCAAAGUUGAAAAAAAAAAAAAAAAAAAACAUGAAGUUUGUCAAAUUUUAAGAUAAUUACUUGUUCUUGUGAAAAACUAAUUAUUUGUAAAAUUUGAAUAAUUUGCUUUAUGAGUUGAAUUAGGUCAAAUUUAAUAAAAGAUAAAAUAAUAUGAUUAUUUUAUUAGUUUUAAAAGUUUGAUCUAAAGAGUUUUAUUUUUUGAAACCUCCAUAAGUUAUGGAUAUGAAAAGGUUUUAAAAAAAAAAUUGAUUCAAAGUUUUUUUGGAGUUACAAAAUUUGGUGUUAAUGUUUUAAAGGAUUCCAUAACUUAAGAAUAAGUUAUGGAUCACCAAAAGUUUUUUGUGUUACCUUGUUUUAUGAGUGAAUUUAGAUUAAUGAAUAAAAUUAUGUGAUAGUUGGUUUUAAUCCAAAUUAAUCUAAGAAUUGAUUCUAAAAUGUGUUUUUGUAACUUGUCCUCAAGUUAUAUGAAAAGUCACAUUUAAGAAUCAUAAAACUCAUAAAAAUUGGCAAAGGUUACAAAAAUGAAGAGUCUAGUUCUAAUUAAAUGGUUUUAUGACUCCAUAACUUGUCCUCAAGUUAUGGAGGACCAAGAGUCUCUUCAUUUAAUAAAAUAAAAUAAAAAAAAAAAAAGUGUAACCUUAAUUAAUUCCAUAAGUUAUAAAAUAAAGAAAAGUUAAUUCUUUUAUUAGUUUAAAGUCUUCCAUAACUUGUCCUCAAGUUAUGGAACUUGAAGAGUUUUUGGAUUAAAACUACUUUAAACACAUAAGUUAUGGAAUUAAUUAGUUUUGAAUAGUUUCAAAACUUGCCCUCAAGUUUUGGAAUUUGUAAAGUUUUCACUUAUGAAUACUUUAAUUCCAAGUUAGCCCUUAGAAUUUUAAAAGUUAAAAUUCAACCCUUAUACUUUAUAAUAUUAUAAGUUAAUAAUAUAUAUAUGUAUAAGAGUAAAGUCAGUCUUACCGCUAGUACGCCUCAUUCACGAAGCCGGUCUAUAAGGUGGGUAUAAGGUUGUUGCCUAUAAAAUGGCAACUUAAUGGGUGUCCACUCUCACCCACCGCUUGCUUGACUGGUGGAGGGUCGUUAGCCGAACGGGUUUGACAGGACUAGAAUUCUCCCUUCAUUAAAAGUAUUAAUGAUAAUACUAAGUAACUAAACUCUUAAUAAUACCCAAUCUUAGUUACUUAGGAAAAAUGUGAAUAAGGUGCUAAUCCAUGAAAUUACACUUUACACUUUGUCUAAGUCGUUAGUGGAGCGUGUGUGGUUAACCGGCACACUAACUUGGACUUAACAAGGUAGGUAAAGGGUGACUUAAUAUUUAUCAUAGUAUCGAUGGAGCGUGUGUGGUUAACCGGCACAUCGAUUGAGGGGUAAUUUAUUAAGGGUACCAAGUGAUUUGCAUGGUUACUUCACACCUUGUUUUGUGAUCCUCGGCAUCCCAGUCACAAAACCUGAAGGGCACACUCGAGAUUGAAACAUGCCUUUGAAAAGUUCAAUGAAUCUCAAAGAUCUAGGAGUUUCAAAACCAAUUAAAACCUAAUAAUACAUUUCGUUUAUCUUGGUGGAAAUUGGUGAAUCGUCAUUCACCUACCUUCAAAUAUUUUAUAGCUUGGAUUACGGCAUACCUCUUCUAAGUUAUAAAAUAGUUUGUUGGGUCCUAGCCUUAAUAUUUCAUAUUGGGUGUCAUAUUAAGGACUUUAAAUCAACUAUCUUGAAUAUCUCCCAAAAGAUGUCUGGUUUAGACACCUAUGAUCUUCCCAAAUCUCUUGAAACAAGGUUUCCUAAUGAAGAUGAUGUCCCAUGGAUAUCAUACUUCUUCACCUCUUCAAAUUAUUCUCCCUAACCCACAAGUUCUUGAAAAGUUUAAGGUCACUCAGGCCCUUUUGGCAAGGCAAGGUCUAGGUGUGGUCACAUCUUGGAGAUGUAGUCACAUAUUGACAAGCCGGGAGAGUUGGGUGUCAAAGUCUUGAGAAAGUUGGUGGUUCAACUACUUUCUAAGUCACAUAGUGAGUUCUUUUGGAACACCUAUGAAAAAGACUAUGACAAGACCCUUAAUGAUCUUAUCUAUUUGUUAAGAUCAACUUCCUAAAACUUUAUGGACAUUGACAAUGAUGACAUUGGAUAUCCAGUAAAGCAUUCUCUUCCCAAUGGAAAGGGAUCGGCUAUAGUCAACUCGGUUGACCAAAUGGUAAAGAGAAAAGCUAAGUCUGUGAUAGUCCUGUGUACCAUUAUCAAAGGGUCCAUAUGUUUGUAUUGCCAAAGAAAGGGCAUUGGUUGCGAAGCUGCCAAAUUUACCUAAGGAUGUUAAAGUCAAUAAGUUUGACUCUACUUCAGGUAAAAUCCACUAUCUAACUCUGUUAAGUUUCUAUUCUGAGAUUCUUGAUACAUGAUGUGACCGGGUCGCAUGGUGAUGGUUUAAGAAUCAAAGGAAAGUGAAGAAACUUAAAGGAAGAAUAUGCUGAAUCUGAUCGCAUAGAUGGAUUUCUAUCGCAUAGUUUGAAAAAUCGGAUUCUUGAGCUACUUCUUAGGAGUUAUGAGAUAUUGCUUAGGAAUAGAUAACAACAAGUUUUCAUAUGGAUUGUAAGGAUAGUUUUUCCGCAAAGUUUUAAAAUAAAAGGAAAUUUUUGAUUUUAUUUAUUUUAAAAUAUCCUUACAAUGGCAUCUGUGGAAAUUUUUGUUGCUUAUAAGAUUCCAUUAGUAGCAAGAGUGGAAGUAUGAAAUUGAUUCUUUCAUUUGUGGUAAUGUCUAAAUUUACCAAAUAAGGAAAGAUUCUCAUCACCCAAGUUUCAAUUGGACCGGAACUUGGAAUCAUGCAAGUUGUAUAGCAUGAUGAAUGAGAACUUUCAAGUUUUGGAAAAUUAAGACUAAUUACUUGUUCACAUGGAUGUGUGAGUCAAGUAAAGGACUUAGGGAUCGAGUACACAUUCUUGUGCACUGAUUAAGUCCACCACUAAAGAUCGAUAAGAAGAAUCAAAUAAGGCAGAAGGAUAAAAGUUUCUCAAAUCUGAAAAGAUGGGAGAGUACUUUAGUAUCAGUUUUGUGAUCAUCUUAAUGAUUAAGAAACCAUAUCAAAAUUAGUUCUCUAAGGAAAUCUUAGUGCAUUCUUAUGACUAAGAAGAGGAACUUGAAUUGUUGAAAUGGUUAAAUCAAGAAGAUGAGUCAUACUUCGUUCCAAUACAAGUCUUAGAGUCAUACUCCAAGAUUGUCAUUUGAGUGACAUGUCUUAAAGAAGGUUUAAAACACUUGUCAAAUGUAAGAGUAAAAGUUUUCUACUCUUGUACAUUUGAAAUUGGUAAGUUGUGAUGUUUUGGAUAAAACAAAGACCAACUUAGGCCAAUUGUGUGAAGUGUUUUUCUUGAUUAGAAUCCGCACUAUCUCUUGGAUGUUUGACAAGGGAGUCUUAUAGGUCAAGAGGACAGUGGGAGUCUUAAAGGUCUUGAAAGUCUCAAGAACUAAUCAAGAAUAAAACCUAAAGUUCUUCACUAGCACACAACUUGAGGUUCAUAACCUAUCGUGUUGACAUAUUCUGUGCCCAUUCCAGUUAAAGUUGGCUUUGCAUAUGAGUUCUUAGAGUUCUCAAUUUGUUGCACAACAACUUGGAAGCAAUGGUAGGCCCUUGAGCUGCCAGGUGGCAAGAAAUUAAGAUUGAGUUCAGUCCAUAUGAGUUUGGAUUUGUCAUUAUCCUUGUCUUGUGACUAUGAUUUUGACAAUUCACAUGGAUAAGAACACAUACACCAUUAAAUCUAAGUGUCAUAAGGUUUCUCUCCGAUUCAUGAAAAUGAUGGUGAGGAAACACUUUCACUAAGUAGAUUUUAGCUAGAUAGCAAUUGUGAUAUUUGCAUUCUCAAAGUCGUUAGUGGAGCGCGUGUGGUUAACCGGCACACUAACUUGGACUUGUGAGAAGUGGCAAAAAGGUCUAAACAUUAUGAUUACGGCAUCCCUCUUCAUAAUUGUUUAGAUACACAAGUGUGCUAUCUAAGGGAAGGUGUAUGAUUUUGAUACAGUUUUAUCAAAACAAUCUAGUAUCAGAAAUCUGAACUUUGGUAAGAAAGUCAAUGAAGUAUUGAUUUCUAGAAGUCCAGCUGAUUUCUGAGUACAUGUCAAAGCUAGUGGGAGCAUAAGUGUUAUGCUAAUAAUCAUCAUGUUAGUGGGAGCAUGAUAAUUAUGAUAAGUAUUGCAAGUUAGCAAUGUUAAUUAUAGAAAACAAAAGUUUCAAUUGGGAAAAAGUUGUUUUGCUAUAAUUAAGGGAGAGGAAAUUAUACUUCAUCUCAAAUCUAUAAGCUUAGAUCGUGAGGUUUUAAUCAUUUAGUCAAGGAUAUAUAUGAAUUUCAUGUUGGAAUGGCUCAACAUAAGGAAAUUCUGUAUAUGGGUCCAUUAUUUGCGUUCUAAAAUUCGAUUAUGAUUACGGCAUCCCUUUUCAUAAUCUGAAUUAUGAGAACUUGGCAAAUUGAAAUGGAAAUGUUAUAGCAAAAGACUGGUUUAGUCUUUAUGUGAGACAUCAUGAAUCGUGUCCCAUAUGCUUCGGAUAUAGGAUCGAUUACAUGUGCUAUAUUCAUCCGUUCUAAAAUUUUCCAAAUGCCUGGGGCAUUAAGAAGGGAAAAGGUUUAGAACUGGAUAUGACUAAAAGGAUUAAACAAUUGUCGAGGACAAUCUAAGGUUUACCAAAGAUUGGUUGCUCAAGGACAGUUGGAAGUAUAGUGAUAAUUCUGGAAGGACCAUAUUGACAUAAUCUGUAAGGAGGCAACUCUUGUUCAGAAGUGAUAGUCAAAAUGGAAUCUGGAAAUGUUUCAAAGUUAGAAUUUUCAAUCUGUUUAAGAUUAGGAAACUUAAUGCAAGAAGGAUGUUUCCAAGGAGCUGAUCUCCUUUGGAAUACUCUGUAAUGAUUGUUGUCAAGUCUUUCUGACUUUGUGCAUAAUCAUUACAAGAGGAUCAAUGCAUAUAAGUUUAGAAUCUAACAGAUUUCAGUAAAUGGCAUGAAUUUGGAAUUCUUGCAUUUGCAGUAAGGAUUUGGGAGUGUGAAAAGAGAAUCAUUGAAGUUAUGUUCAAUUGAUCUAGUUCACAAAGUAAAGAUCAUAGACAAACAUAGUAUGCAUACUUGGUGUGUGGCAUGACUAGUGUUUAAGAAAACAUAGUGUACAUGCUUGGAGCAUGGGACAACUAUUGUUUUAAAUUCAAGAAUAAAGUUGAUAGCUGAAACAGUAUACAAUGAAUAAUGUGUAAUCAUAUGGUGAUAAAUAAAAGGUGUUUUAUUUAUGUUCAAAGAUUUGAUACCAUAUUGGAUUCAAUUAUUAUUGUGUUUCACUUUGCAUGUUUUGACUUCCCGAAUAAACUAGGUUAUUCUUCCGGAAUGACUAAGUUAUUCAAACCAUCCACAGUCGGUCAUAUGUUGGAAGUAGAUAUGAAUUAAGACUGUCAUGGGUUGGCUUGUAGAGGUCUAAGGUGUUGGACAAAGGGCUACAACACUCAUGAGUGCUCAUAAGUUCUGAGUAUUGGAUUCAACCCGCGCUCAUUGGAAUCACUUCAUGGAUUUUAUCACGAGUGAUCAUGAGACGAUAAUAUCUUAUAUUCUUCAAACCUAGAGAUAUGAGUUGUUACUAUGAGUUGGUUGUACAUUGAUUGCACGAAAACGCAUUUGGUAACUCGGUGCUAUAAAACGUGCCUUUGUGUAUGAUUCAACAAGUAGUAGAACAAGCCAUAUGAGUCGAAGUUUAUCCAUUCCUUUUACCUUCGGGAUAAAAGCGAUAUCUGUGGGCCCCUCGAUGAUUUGAUGAUGACAAAUGGAAGUGCUCGGCCGGGCCAGGACUGAUUUGAUUUGUUCAAUUAGUCAGUCGUCAUAAAUCGGAAAUCGGGAAACAACAAAUGGACAGAGAGAAUGAUUAUAAUCCAUGUCUCAGUCCAUAUGAUAUCUAGAAUGGAGGAAUAUAUGAUCCCUUAUCUAAUGGACAAGUUCGUUGACAAGAUCAGAGUUCGACAGCAGCUUUAAGAGCUACGAUUGCCAGUUAGGUUUGAAGUCAUACGCAAUAAUAGUUUUAGACUUAUCCAAGUGGGAGACUGUUGGAUUAAUGUCUAAGUCCAUAACUAUAUUUGGUAUGUACUUGACCCGACCCGGCAUGGUCCAUUUGGGUUGCACUUCACCGACACAAUUUAUAUGGAUAAUCUUUUGAGAAUAGUAUGUUUAUGAUUAAUAUUAAUAUAUUAUAAGUUCUAAUAUAUUAAUAUGGAAUCAUAUUAUUUAAUUAGUAUUGAUCAAGAAUUAAUUUAUAAUUAAUUAAGUGAUCAAAAGGAACUAAUUAAAUAUGGACUCUUAUAUAUAUGGAAUGGGCCAAGUUCAUUUAGGUUGGGCUAAGCUUUCAUGGAUAGUCCAUGGAGUGUUUAACCCAUGGAUCCUAGGAAAUGAAAGGUCAUGGGUAUUAGGGUUUAACCCUAAUCCUCCAUACUAUAUAAAGAUGUCUUUGGUUGGUGAAAUAGGUACUAGUGUGGAUACACUAAAGAAGGGCUAGCCAAUUUCACUAGAGAGAACCAAGUAAUCAUAUUCUCUAAAGUAUUCCAAGGUGUCUUGGUGAUUUGUGAUUCCACUUGAGGCUUCCACACUAUUGGGGCUAAGCUCUAAAAGCUUGAAGACAUCAAGCUACAUCAAAAGGUAUGUCUUCUAACUAGUACUUUGUAGAUUAAGAACAUCAUAAUAUGCUAGUUAGGAUUAAAGCCUUGGAUGUUCUUAUUUGCAUGUAUAAUAGAGAAAACAUAGAUCCAAGGUAUUUAGGGUUGCAUGUACACUUAGGAAGUGUUAGAAUGCACAUAACCCAACAACAACGGACCCCAUAAAGGUAAUGUCUCCAUAUCUUGAGGGCGAACACCACCGCCCCCAGCUCCAAGUCAUGCGUAGAGCAUCUCGUCUCAUGCGGCUUCAAUUUCCACGACGCAUAAGCUAUCACUCGUCCUCUCUACAUGAGGAUCGCCCCUAACCCUAUGAUGGAUGCAUCACAGAACACCACAAAAUCCUCAACUCCCUCCGGGAGUGUCAAGACUGGGGCCUCGCGCAACCAUUGUCGGAGGGUCUCAAAUGCCCUCUGCUGCUCAGGGCUCCACACGUAAAUCAACCCCCUUCCUCGUCAGACGAGUGAGGGGUACCGCAAUCUUAGAGAAGUCCUGAAUGAAUCUCUGGUAGUACCCUACCAAUCCCAAAAAGCUCCUGAUGUUUGAGGUAGAUUUCGGAACCUCCCACUUCAUAACCGCCUCGAUUUUGGUUGGAUCGACCAAAACCCCCUCCUGGUUAACGAGAUGUCCAAGGAACUGGACCUCUCGUAACCAAAACUCACACUUCGAGAACUUGGCAUACAGCCGUUCUCGUCUUAAAAAUCCCAACAACUCUCGCAGACGCUCCUCAUGCUGCUCUCGGGUCUUGGAAUACACCAAGAUAUCAUCUAUAAACACUAUGACCGAGCGAUCGAGCAUCGGUCUACAUACCCGAUUCAUCAGAUCCAUGAAUACUAUUGGCGCGUUGGUGAGCCCAAAUGGCAUCACCACGAACUCGUAAUGUCCAUAACGAGUUCGAAAUGCGGUAUUCUCAACGUCCUCCUCUCUGACCCUAACUUGAUGAUACCCAUAUCUCAAGUCUAUCUUGGAAAACCAAGAUGCCCCCUGCAGCUGAUCAAAUAGAUCAUCUAUCCUUGGGAGAGGAUAACAGUUCUUCACCGUCAACUUGUUCAUCUCCCUCUAAUCAAUGCACAUCCGGUGCGAGCCGUCCUUCUUCCUGACGAAGAGGAUCGGUGCUCCCUAUGGAGAACUGAUAGGUCGAAUGAAAUGCUUUCCUAGCAGCUCCUGAAGUUGUGACGACAAAUCCUGCAUCUCUUGUGGCACCAACUGGUACGACGCCUUAGCGAUAGGGGCUGCACCUGACACUAGGUCGAUCUUGAACUGAACCUGCCUCUCUGGAGGCACUCCAGGUAACUCCUCUGGAAACACAUCAGCAAACUCUCUGACUACCGGAACCUCCGAAACUGAAACCUGUUCCCUGGCCCGUGCAUCUACUACGUACGCUAGGUAAACCGCACACCCGUGCUGAAGGUAUUGUCGAGCCCUGGCAGCUGAACAAAACCCUGAACCCAACCUGGUGCCCUCGCCAUAAACAAUCAGUUCUCCCCCACUUGGGGUUCAAACUACAACUCGCUGACCUUAGCAAUCUAUCAUGGCACCAAACUGGCUAAGCCAAUCCAUCCCUAAGAUUACGCACACCUCCCCCAUGGGAAUUAGUAUCAAAUCUAUCGUAAAGGACACUCCGAAGAUCUCCAACUCGCACCCUCGAUAAACUGAAGAAGCAAAAACUUCGUGUUUGUUGGCGAUAGAGACUCGCAACGGACACUCUAAUUCGCCCACCGGCACACCAAACUCCCUACUAAAGGUCUGAGAUACGAAAGAGCGACUCGCCCCUGAGUCAAACAAAACCAGAGUAGGAAGAUAGUUCACUAAAAAUGUACCUAACCACAUAUACGACAUAUAAGCAUAAUACAGACAUAAUAAUCAAGACAAGGGAUAGAAACAUACCAGCAACCACAUAUGGUGCUGCCCUGGCCUCCUCAGCCGUCAGCUGAAAAGCACGUCCCUGACCCCUCGGGGGCUCCGCACUACCCUGUCUCCCAUCUGUAAUCCUCAAUGUAGCCGGUGCUGGAGCCUGCGUCGGAUUGGCAGCGAGUAACGUGCAGUUGGCCUUCAAAUGGCCAACCUGAUCACAAUGGUAACAUAGCCUCAUACUCGGAACCAGAGCGGCCUGGCGACAAUCCUUCGCAUAGUGCCCCUCCUUUCCACACUUGUGGCACCCAUUAUUGGCUCAACAAAUCCCGUAAUGAACCCUGCCACACUUCCCACAAGAGUGGCUCUGCUGACUCCCAGACCUCAAAUCAGUGGUCUUAAUCCGCUUCGGCGCNNNNNNNNNNNNNNNNNNNNNNNNNNNNNNNNNNNNNNNNNNNNNNNNNNNNNNNNNNNNNNNNNNNNNNNNNNNNNNNNNNNNNNNNNNNNNNNNNNNNNNNNNNNNNNNNNNNNNNNNNNNNNNNNNNNNNNNNNNNNNNNNNNNNNNNNNNNNNNNNNNNNNNNNNNNNNNNNNNNNNNNNNNNNNNNNNNNNNNNNNNNNNNNGUAACAGCGGCAGGAGGAGGAGGAUCCAGCCGGGCUUUCCAAUAUAGGGACUGUGAUAACACGAAGCCCCCUACUUUUGAUGGGACUUAGGACCCCAUCAAGGCCAUGAGGUGGAUUUCUGAUGUGGAGGGGUGCUUCUUCACUUGCUCAUGUCCUACUGACCAGAGGGUCAGGUGUGUCCGGAACCUGAUGAGGCUUGGGGCCAAGGACUGGUGGAGAUUGACUAUAGGAUCUUACUCUGAUGAGCAGAGAGCUGCAGUUACGUGGGAGUAGUUUCGGGACGUACCACUUCGAAGAUUAUGUGAUUGGCUCAGAAGAUAAUGGGUACUUGAUCUGGGAAGCUAUCACAGUUAACCCGUUUGCUCAUUCAAGCACCUCAAAGAUUGUCAAAACUCAAAAGGAGUAUAAUCAGCUUGUGAAUGAUGUGAAAGACAUUCCUCAAGAUGAGAAUGAGAAGUUUCAAUGCAACAUCAAGGCCUUAAGAAUGAUUAGGUUUGCUUGGCAGUCAGAUACGUUUCGGUUGGUGAGUUCUUGCGCUACAGCUAAAGAGAUAUGGGACAGGCUGAAAGAAUUGUAUUCCACUAAUGAAGAUCUGGAACAUUCAAUACAAACUCUGCUGCUUUAUGAAUUUGGUGAUUUCAAAUAGAAGCCCGAAGAGAAACUUGUUCAGGCUUUUGAUCGGUUUAAUCAUAUUUUAAGUAAGAUGAUAAAGCAUGGGAUCGGAAGGAAGGUUAUUGAACAAAAGGCCAACAUCCACAAAAAUCCAAAAUAGGUGGCAGAACGAAAACACCAAUGAAAUCUGAGAUACAAGAAGAAUCUCUCAGAAAGAAAGCAGUUUUGGAGAUCACAAAACCCUCAUUAUGUCAGGUAUGAAAGGACGCAUAAGUCUCGAGUAGAAUCAAGAAGCGACCAACAGGAGGGUUUCGAUCCUUGGAAUGAAAGGAACGAAAGGAUAGUUUCGGUCCACAGCAAGCAAGGAACCGAAAGGAUAAUUAUGGUCCAAAGCGAGCAAGGAACCGAAAGGAUAGUUUCGGUCCACAGCAAGUAAGCAACCGAAAGGAGAGUUUCGGUCCUCAGAACUUCAGCAACCGAAAGAACGGUUUUGAUCCUCAACACAAUAGCAACCAAAAGAAUGGGUUCGGUUCUAAGUUCAAUCAGAAGAACAAAAGGGAUCAUCAUGCAAUGAUGGUAGAACAGCAGGCUUUAAUAAAAAAUCAACAAGCCUCCAUCAAUAAUCUUGAAGUGCAACUUGGUCAACUAACCACUUUGGUUCAUGAGAAGCUAUCCCCGAAAAAUCUUGAAAAGAAGACCCAAUCUCACGUAAUAGCUAUAGAUACUGAAGAAGAGGUCAUCUAUGAGUUCCUAGAAGCAUUAGAAGUGGAGCCACAACAGCCCGAUCCAAAGCCAAAGAAGCCAAGGAUCGAAAAUGAAGAAGCUGCUGGAACACCCAGUUCACGAUGUGAGCCCGCUAUGCUCACGUCGUGGGCUCUGUCUGAACAGAAAAAGUUCGUCUUUGUUUCAUCAUAUCAACCACCUUUGCGGUUUCCUUCCCGAGCUGCCCUUAGUCCACCGGAAAGAGAGCAUAUAGAGUUUAUUAAGCACGUGAAGGGUAUCCCGAUUAAUACUCCCUUUGUCGAGUCGUUAUCAAAAAUUCCCGAAUAUGAAAUUUUUUUACAAGACUUGAUAGACACUCGUCAGCAACUAAAGAAGAAUUAUAAAGUUAUUAUAAGUGAGCAAAGUUCAAGGGAUGUAUUGGGAGACAUAACUAAGAAGAUGGGGGAUCCUGGACGCCUCACUCUUCCAUGUGAGUUUGGGAACAACAUGAAGGUUUAUGCUUUAGCCGAUUCUGGGGCUAGCAUAAAUUUGAUUAUUCAUUUUAUCAGAAGUUGGAUAUUCAGAAGUUGAAGGCUGCAAGAAUGACUAUUCACAUGGUAAACCGUUCAGUGACACAGCCACGGGGCAUUGUGGAAGAUAUUUUAGUAAAAAUUGGGAAAUUCGUUUUUCCAAUAGACUUUGUGGUAUUGGAUAUGAAAGAAGAUCCCAAUGUACCAAUUAUUCUUGGUCGCCCGUUGCUAAACACUGCUGGAGCUCUUGUUGAUAUUCGGGAGUCUAAGCUCACCUUGAGGGUUGGUAAUGAAGAGGAAAUUUUUGGUAUAGAAGAUGGCUUUCAAGGGAAUCAUGCUUAAGAAGAGGUUUUUAACAUUGAUGAAGACAAUGAACUCGAAGAAUUAGAGAAGCUCAUGGAAGAAGAGAUCAAGGCAAUUUAUCAAGUUAAAAGAACAAAGCCAAGAGCAUCUGUUCCAUAUUUAGUUAAAGUCAUUGCCUACACGAGUCCAAUUUCUUGGGUGAGCAAGGAAGAUGAUGAGAUAACGAGUGAUGAAGAGGAGGUUACUUCAAAAGUAACAACCCCAGUGGUGAAAGAAGAGAAGAAUGCUAUGGAGUGAAAGGAAGAACCUAAAGGGACCAAACGCAAGCUUGAUGAAGACGAGGUCAAAGCUAAAAAGGUGUACAAAAGACGAGUUCAAGCUUACAAGAGGCGUUUCAAGGAACAAAAGAUCCUAGUGGUGGAUUCUUCAGAUGACUCAACGUAGGAGGCACAGAGUCCAGCUCAUGACUCCAAGAAAAAGAAGCGCUUCUCGGGAGGCAACCCGAGUUUGGUUUGCAAUUUUUUCUUUCUUUCUUUUCUUUUUAGUUUUUGCAUUUUAAUCUUAGAAACAUAGAUCAUAUCAUCCAACUCGCUUUAUUCAUAAUUAAACACUGAGUGUGGGGUCCCUAAAAAUGAAGUGGUGAUAAUUAAGAAUUUAGUUAAUAGACAAACUUGACUUAAUAAUAAAAAAAAUUUCAUGCAGGAUUCACGACGUGAUCAGUUAAGGACUCACGACGUGAAUUCUGAAUAAACCGGAUAAUAUACCAAUGAUGCGUAUCAGCCCAUAUUCUAUUAAACUAAUUGGCCCACGACUAAUCCAUUAUUGAUAAGGAAUGCAUGGCCCAACAUUAAGCCUAGACAGGACUCACGACGUGAGUUUUGAAAAACACGAGACCACAGAUUAAAGGGAUAAGAAUCAGUUUGACCCUCUUUUCUUUAUUCCUCACGAAGUGAAACACGAGAUUUGGUCCCCCAGUUCCGAUUUUGGCCGACAACACUCAAUUUUCGUUUUUCCUUACCUCAUACUACAAUUUAAGGUAAUGAUUCGUAAUUAUUAUGUUUAAUUUUUCUCUAAUAAUUGAACUUAGGGUUAGGGUUUGUUAGUUAGAUGAAAUGUCGAAUUUACUUCUAAAAAUUCACGUAAUAGCCUUGGAAUGUUGAUGCUAUGUGCUUGUAAAUGGUAUAGGAGUAAACCCCCAUUAAUAUUGUGACCUGAUUUUCCCUUGAUUUUAGCGAUUCUGCUUGCUGAGUUGCGAACUCACGACGUGAAUACUGGGAUUGGACAUUUUCAGUUCUGUUAAUUUCUAAACUUGUGGGUUGUUUCUUUUGGGUGUCUUUGUUGCUUGUUUUUUCAGAAAUGGGUCCUAGAAGGGAGGCACCUCUUGGAGUUGCGGGUUUACACCCGUUUUUUAAUUUUCCCACAACAAUGUCCCGCGACAUCUUGACUCGAUGGAACAACAAAUUAAGGUGGCUCUACAACCGCGAGAUUGCUGUUGCUCCUACAAUCAAUUCGACGCGGUUGAGGGAAGUCGAACUCGUGGAAAGGCUGUCCCUAUUUUUGACAAAAAUAUUUAUUGGAGAUGGAUACUCGUUCACUUGCUCGGGUUGGCUCAACCUAUUUCGAAUUCAAGAGCGGGUGUAUAAGGAAUUUUGUGUUGAGUUUUUCUCAACAGUGACAUUCUAGGAGACUGUCCAAGACCCACAUUGGCCGCAAGCUUUGGUGUUCCGGUUGGGGGGAGAGUACCGGGAGUGCAGCCUCGUUGAAUUUGCUUGGAGAGUUGGACUAUAUGAUCGACAAGAGGCAAUGACUCCCGAAUUUGGUAUGUUCUUAAGCGCAGAAGCUAUAGGAUACACGGAGGGUGUGACUGGAUAUGUUUUCUGGCAUAAUAUUGCGUCCGAAAUGUUUAAUUCCGGAGUGUCUCCCGAGAGUAGUAUUCGGUCCCCUAUCCAUCGCUUACUCCACCGUUCCAUCACAUUCUCCAUCAAUCAUAGGAGGCAUGGAGAUAAAGUAACAAAAAAAAUUAUUCUUCUUAUGGUGUAUCUUGCAGCCCGGAGUGUGUUGCAACAUUCCUUAUUUUCUGGCACGUUUUCUGGCCGGGUCUGCAGCUAGUUCUCGCCCUGGGAGCCCCAUUUGUGGAGGGCAAUUUAUUAUGUGUUUGGCCCGCUUGUAUCAUUUGGUUGUUCCUGAUAUUACUCGUUCCAUGACUUGUAUGGAUGAGCAUAAGUUUGGCAUGGGGUAUUUGGAGACUAUGCGGGUUGUCAGAAACUUUGGGUCGCAUUGGGGAAUAGUACCUUCAGAUGAUGAGGGUAAUGAGGGUGAUGAGCAGCCUGAUACACAACCAGAACAACCACAACUGAGGCCGGGGCGGAGGAACGUAAGAGGAAGGGGAAAAAGAGGGCAACCAAUGCAUCCACCCACAUCCAUGGUAGGAGCACCUUUUUGGGGUGAUAUGACUGGUUAUUUUGACCAAUUAUCUUUAAGUGUAAGCUGGAUUGAUGGCACCAUGGAGAACGUCGUUAGACACCUUGGGGUGGAGCAGCCGCCUCAUUUGGGGUAUCAUUACCCAAUUUUCCCGAGGUGGACGGAGUAUAGAGGACAUGGAGGCGACGGAGCGGGCACUAGCGGGGUGAACAAGGAUGAAGAGGAUGAUUGAUCGUUUCUUUUCGCUUUAUUAUUUUAGUUUUGUUUGGUUUAGUUUUAUUUUGUUUUUAUUUGUUUGGGAUUGUAAAAAUAUUAAGAUAUUAUGUUAUUUUUCUCUUCUUGGUUGUUAUUUUUCAGAAUUACUAGGAGCGCAUGAUGGGUUUUAGGUAAAACAAAUAAACUAGAAAAACAAUUCCUAAGUUCACAUGCAACCUACUUUGGAUCUAUGUUUUAUCUAUUGAACAUACAACUUUGAAUUGUAAAACAAGAACCCUAGAGGAGAGAGGCUAUAAUCGAAAUUUACAAACUAGGGUUUAGUAAUUACAUACCUUUCAAUUGUUAUAGUAAACAAUUGAUAAUUCCCUUGAUCUUGAUCUUGAUCUUCCUUGAAGCUUAGCACCACAAGUGUAAUGCCUCUAAUGGAAUCACACCCAAACUAGCAAGAAGGAAAGUAGAGGAGAGAGGGGAGAGGGAGUAUGCAAAAUUUCGGCCCUUAGGGUUUCUUCAAAAGAAAAGAGUGACCAAAACAUGAACCAGGAGGCUCCUUAUAUAGCUGAGGGAUCUAGGGUUUAGGGGAAACCCUAGUUAUCCUUUGCUUAGGGCCUAAGCAAACCCAAGGGCCUUAUCCAAGCCCCUAUGGACGAAAUUAUUAGGGUUUCCCCUAAAGAUUUCGUCCACCCUUAUCCAAGGGGGUUCUAGAGCCUUCCACUCAACUAUUAGAUAAUUGCAAACUAGUCCCUGCACCUUAUAAUUAAUUCUUUUAACCCCAAAAUUAAUUCUAAUUAAUUUCUGGCUAACAAUUAAUUAAACAAAAUGAUUUCUUAUUAAUAUAUUAAUCUUUUAACAUAUUAAUAAAUUCAUUUAUAUUAAUUUAUUAAUCUUAUAAUAAAUUAAUAUCUCUCCUUUCAUAAUUUCCUUGUCCGGUUGCUAGGUUUGAGGGCAACCCAAAAGGACUGUGCUGCUAUCAAUUCAAGUACAUACCAAUUAUAGUUAUGGGCUUAGACACCUAAUCCAACAGUCUCCCACUUGGAUAAGUCUGUAACUAUAAUUGCUAGUAUGCCUUCUAAAUUUGACCAGCAAAUUGUAGCUUCCAAAAAGCUGCUGCCGAACUCUGACCCAGUCAGUUACGUGUCCUAAGAUAAGUGAUCAUAUAAUCCUUCGUUCUGCUAGAUAUCCCUAGACAAAAGACAUGGAAUGCAAUCAACCUCUUUGUCCAGAAUCUAUGUUUCCCGAUUCCUGAUUUGUGAUGAUGUAGGACUUCUAAUUGAACACAUCAAUUUAGUCCUGGCUGGGCCCAGCACACAAGUCAACACCAAAUCAUCGAGGGGCCCACAGAUAUCGCUUUUCCCGUUAGGGCAAAAGGAACGAAUAAACAUUGACUCAUAUGCUUGUAUCUUUUACUCAUCAAACCAUACAUGAUAAUACGUUUUAUAACACCAAGUUACUGAUGCGUUUUCGUAUCACCAAUGCAUAGCCGACUUGCAAAUCACAACUCAUAUAUCUCUGUUUCAAGAUUAUAAGAUAUUAUCGUCUCAGUAUUACUCGUGAUGAAUUCCAUGAAGUAAUACUCUGAGCGAGGGUUUAUCCAAUACUCAAAUCUCAAUUUCUGAGUACUCAUGAACGUUGCAGCAAAUACAUUGCCAUGUCUAUCCUUAGACAAUCUACAAUCCAGUUCAUGACAGUCUUGAUUCACUACUUACUUCCAAAAGUACGAGCGACUGUGGAGUUUGAAUAAUCUUAUUAUUCGGGAAGUAAAACAUGCAAAAAUGAAACACAAUAAUAAACAAUUGACAAAAGGUAGAACCCAAACUUAUAAAUAAUACUUUAUUAUUUAAUCACCAAAAGUCAAUUACAUUUACUUUGUUACAAGUUUCAGAAAACUAAUCUAACUACUAAAACUAAUAUCAUCUUUCAGUCCUAUGCUCCGAGCAUGCUGAAUAUGCUUAGCCCUACUCAGACCCUUUGUGAGGGGAUCUGCUGGGUUAUCUUCAGAUGACACCCUCUUCACUAUAAGAUGGCCUUCUUCUACUCUAUGUCUGAUGAAAUGGUACUUUCUGUCGAUAUGUCUGGUUUUACCAUGAUCUCUCGGUUCCUUUGUCAAGGCAACCGCUCCUUCAUUAUCGCAGAACAGUUCCAUAGGCUCCUGGAUGGUUGGAACAACUCCGAGAUCCCCGAUGAAGUUCCUCAACCAAGCUGCUUCUUUCGACGCUUCACUUGCUGCUAUGUACUCUGAUUCACAAGUAGAAUCAGCCACCGUAUCUUGCUUGGAACUCUUCCAAGUAACUGCUCCUCCAUUUAAUAAGAAUACCCAGCCUGACUGAGAACGGAAGUUAUCUCUAUCCGUCUGAAAGCUGGCAUCACUGUAACCAUCUACUCUCAAAGUAUCAUUGCCACCAAGUACAAGGACCCAGUCCUUCGUUCUUCGCAAAUACUUGAGUAUAUUCUUCACGGCUAUCCAAUGAGCUCUACCUGGGUUUCCCUGAUAGCGACUGACCAUGCUCAAAGCAAAUGCCACAUCAGGGCGAGUACAUGUCAUAGCGUACAUGAUCGAUCCGACAGCGGAAGCAUAAGGUACACGACUCAUGUCAUCUAUUUCCUCAUCUGUACUCGGGCAUUGAGUCUUACUCAAUUUGGUAUUGCUCUGGAUAGGUAGCUCUCCCUUCUUGGAAUUUUCCAUACUAAACCUCUUUAGUACCUUAUCCAAGUAUGUGCUCUGACUAAGUCCAAUUAGUCUCUUCUUUCUAUCUCUCAAUAUUCUAAUCCCAAGAAUAUAGGCGGCUUCUCCUAGGUCUUUCAUGGCAAAACACUUUCCAAGCCAAGACUUAACUUCAUUCAAGGUUGGAACGUCGUUACCAAUGAGUAAUAUGUCAUCGACAUAUAACACCAGAAAAGUUACUAUACUCCCACUAGCCUUGAUAUACACACAAAACUCAUCUUCACUUCUAGAGAAACCAAACUCUUUGACUUUCUCAUGGAAGCAAAGAUUCCAGCUGCGAGAUGCUUGUUUCAAUCCAUAAAUGGAUUUCUCAAGCUUGCAUACUCUAUUGGGAAACUUUGCAUCAACAAAACCCUCUGGCUGACUCAUGUAAACAUCCUCAGCCAACUUCCCGUUAAGGAAGGCAGUCUUGACAUCCAUCUGCCAGAUUUCAUAGUCAUGAAAGGCAGCUAUGGCGAGCAAUAUCCUAAUAGAUUUAAUCUUAGCCACCGGCGAAAAAGUCUCAUCAUAGUCAACCCCUGGGGUUUGAGUGAAACCUUUUGCAACCAGUCGAGCCUUGAACGUAUGCACAUUCCCAUCCAUGUCUGUCUUCUUCUUGAAGAUCCAUUUGCACCCAACUGUCUUCCGACCUGGUGCACUAUCAACCAAAUUCCAAACUUGGUUGUCAUACAUGGACUUAAUCUCGCUGUCCAUUGCCUCUUUCCACUUGGAAGCCUCUGGGCCUGCCAUUGCUUCCUUAUAAGUGACUGGUUCAUCUAAGUUUACCAGUGUUCUGUCACUUAUGAAUGUGUCACCAUCUGAAGUAAUAUGAAAACCAUACAACUCAGGUGGCACACUCACCCUAGUGGAUCUUCGAAGAGGUAAUGAUUUAUCAACCGGUUCAACAGGAACUGUUUCCUCUGGUUGAGUGCUAGUGUCAUAUAAGGUUCCUUCAUUGGUUGACUCUUGAAUCUCUUCAAGGUCAAUGGUACUCCCACUGUCCUCUUUGAAUAUGAGCUCUCUUUCCAGAAAGACUCCUCUUCGAGCUACAAACACCACGUUUUCACUAGGUCUGUAGAACAAAUAUCCAAAAGACUGCUUUGGGUAACCAAUGAAAACACAUUUCUCACUUCUAGCUGCUAGCUUGUCGUGAGUCUCUCGUCUUACGAAAGCUUCACAACCCCAGACUUUAAUAUGUGCUAACGAGGGAACUUUCCCUGUCCACAUUUCGUGAGGUGUUUUGGCAACCUUCUUUGUAGGGACAAGAUUGAGGAUGUGGGCGGCUGUCUCUAAGGCAUACCCCCAGAAGUGAAUAGGAAGCGAGGCACGACUCAUCAUAGAACGAACCAUGUCUAACAAGGUUCGAUUACGCCUCUCAGCUACACCAUUUAACUGUGGUGUCCUAGGAGGAGUCAAUUGUGAGACUAUCCCACAUUCUUUCAGAUAGUCGUUGAACUCGGUACUAAGAUACUCCCCGCCUCUAUCGGAUCUAAGUAUCUUGAUCUUUCUGCCCAAUUGAUUUUCGACUUCAUGCUUAAACUCUUUGAACUUUUCAAAGGUUUCUGACUUAUGUUUGAUCAAGUAGAUGUAACCAUAUCUGCUAUAAUCGUCAGUGAAAGUCACAUAGAAUCGAUUAGCAUCCCUUGUGGUUGAUCUGAAGGGCCCACACACAUCUGUGUGUAUGAGAUCCAACAGACCUUCACCUCUUUCACAAGACCCUGUGAAUGGUGAUUUUGUCAUCUUUCCCAAAAGACAAGAUUCACACAUAUCAUCUGAUUUUAGGUCAAAUGAUUCCAACACUCCAUCCUUUUGGAGUUGGGCUAUGCGUUUCUUGUUAAUGUGUCCAAGACGACAAUGCCACAAGCAUGCCUUGUCUACACUAUUAGACAAGUCAAUAUUAAGUACACUAUUUCCUAAGCUAUCAACACAAGUCACUGUUUCAUACACACCAUCACAAGGUAAAGCUUCAAACACAAAAACACCAUUCUUAUAAACAGAAAUUGAACCAUUCAAAUCAUUAAAAGAAUAUUUAAAACCUUGUCUGAACAAUGCAUGAAAUGAAAUAAUGUUUCUCGUCAUCUCAGACGAAUAGCAACAAUUUAUUAAAUCUAAUCUAACAUCAUUACUAAGCAAUAGUUGAUAAACUCCGAUCUUGGUCACUGGUGAAGACUUUCUGUUCCCCAUGAUCAAGUUUAUCCUCCCAUGCUCUAUCUCCUCACUUUCCUUUAGCCCCUGCAAAUCAGAACAGAUAUGAAAACCACAUCCUGUAUCAAGGACCCAUGAACGAGAAGAUAAUGAGUUAUUAGCAGAAAUAGUGUAAAUACCUGCCGAGGAUGGCUUCACUUUGCCAUCCUUGAUAUCUUGCAGAUAUUGUGGGCAAGAUCUCUUCCAAUGCCCCUUUUGAUUGCAGUAAAAGCAAAUGGCCUCUUUUGGAUCAGAAACAUGGGGAGUGGAACCAUUGGGCUUAGCCUUCGGGCCAUUACUAGAUGACACAGCUUGAGCCUUGCUCUUCCAGUUUUGCUUGGGAGGACCUUUCCUCUUCUUCCCCUUUCCCUGUCCAAUGGCCAAGACAGGGGCACUUGCAGGUGUGGAGGGUAUACUUUUACCCUUCAUCCCUGCCUCAGCUGUCUGCAACAAGUUGUGCAAUUGGGCCAAAGUCUGCUCAGUGUUGUUCAAAUGGUAAGUUAAGAUAAACUGACCAUAACAAUCAGGCAACGAGUUCAAGACCAUGUCAAUGGCCAAUUCCUCAUCGAAGUGAAUGUUGAGCUUGACCAAACGCUCUAUGUAGCGUUGCAUUCUUUGCACAUGAGAUACAACCGAUUCCCCCUCUUUCAUCUUGCAAGCCAUGAGUGACUUGACUACCUCAAACUUUUCUUGACGAGCUCGCUUAUGGUACUUUUCCAUAAGGUCCUUGUUCAUCUCAAAAGGCCAGUAGUCCUCAUAGUACCUCUGCAAUUCUGGGGACAUGGUUGCAACCAUGAUGCAUGCCACUUUGGUAGCAUCAUCAUAGUGUUUCUUGUAGGCAGCAUACUCUUCGGGAGUGGCUUUUGACUCAUCAAGUUCUUUGAGCUCCUUUUCAAGGACAUACUCUUUGUCCUCGAAUCUAAGCGCCAUCUUGAUGUUACGCAUCCAAUCGUUAUAGUUGGAGCCAUCCAUAACGACUUUGGAGCAGAUGUUUAGUAGAGAGAAGUUGUGGCUGGAGGAUGAUGAAGCAGAAGUGUUUCCAGGAGUAGACAUCUGAAAAGAAAGAUAGUUUUAGUUAGAUUCCAAGACACCUCAAUAUAAUAACCCAAAGAUAUCAUAUCAAGGUUAGGACCCAACUAUGACGAUUUACAACUUAGAAAUGGGAUGCCGAGAUCCAAGUUCAAAUCUCAUAAAGGUAGGUGAAUGACGAUUCACCAAUUCCACCAUUAGACAAAAUAAACGAAGUGAAAUUCCUAAUUCUUUUGAGAUACAUUAAAACUAUUUAAUGGCAUGUUUUAAUCUCGGAUUAUGCUCUACUAUUUGUGACUGGGAUACCGAGGAUCACAAACUAGAUGUGAAUAACCAUGCAAAUGUGCUUGGUAACCUUAUUGUCUUUAUCAUUAACUAUUGAUGUGCCGGUAAACCACACACGCUCCAUCAAAAUGAUAAUUAUAAGAUACCCAUUACUACUCUUUAUUAGUGCCUUUUAGUGUGCCGGUUAACCACACACGCUCCACUAACGACCAAUAAAGCAUAAUGUGCAAUUUCAUGGAUUAGCAUACUUUUCACAUUUUUCCUAAAGUAACUAGAGUUGGGAUUUUGAAAAAUAGUGUUCUAGUACUUUCUUUAAUAGCAUUAUACUUUUAAUGGGAAGUAGUUGUCCUAUCAAAUCCGUUCUGCUAACGACCCUCCACUAAUCAAGGAAGCGGUGGGUGAGAGUGGACACCCAUUCAACUACCAUUUUAUAGGCAGUUUCCUUAUACCCCCCUUAUAGACUAGCUUCGUGAAUGAGGCAUACUAGCGAUUUGACUGACCAUAUUCUUAUACAUAUAUAAUAUUUAACUUUUAAUUAUAAUAUAUAUAUAAGGUGUGUUUUAAAACAUUUUAAAACUCCAAGGGUUUAUAUAAAUUUUUGAAAUUUAAACUAUUAAAUUUUAAAUUUAAAUAAACCAAUUAAUUAGAUUUAAUAUUUAUCUAUUAAUUAACUUUUAAUUAAUUUAUUAAAUCUUGUAAGGAUUAUCUAAUUAAAUUAAACAAUUAAUUUAAUCCUAAUCCAUAUCCCUUCUAGAUUUCGAAAAUAUGGGGAUAGGAUAAUUUCCUUAUUUUUCUCAAUUAUCCAAUAAGGCAACUAUUAUCCAAAACAAAGAAACCCUAAUCUUUAUAGCAUAUUUCGAAAUUUUCAAGGGAGGAGGCUAGGGUUUUCAAAACCCUAACCCUAAUUUCGAUUAGGGUUCUUUGGAGGCUAGGGUUUUCAAAAACCCUUUGAUCCACAACCCUAAAAAUCGAAAAAAUGGCCUUUAGGGUUUAAUAGCUAUAAACCCUAAUUUGCAAUUCAACAAUUAUAACAAUUCAAUUUAAAACAAACAAAGGCUCUGAUACCACUGAUGGGUUUUAGGUAAAACAAAUAAACUAGAAAACAAUUCCUAAGUUCACAUGCAACCUACUUUGGAUCUAUGUUUUAUCUAUUGAACAUACAACUUUGAAUUGCAAAACAAGAACCCUAGAGGAGAGAGGCUAUAAUCGAAAUUUACAAACUAGGGUUUAGUAAUUACAUACCUUUCAAUUGUUAUAGUAAACAAUUGAUAAUUCCCUUGAUCUUGAUCUUGAUCUUCUUGGAAGCUUAGCACCACAAGUGUAAUGCCUCUAAUGGAAUCACACCCAAACUAGCAAGAAGGAAAGUAGAGGAGAGAGGGGAGAGGGAGUAUGCAAAAUUUCGGCCCUUAGGGUUUCUUCAAAAGAAAAGAGUGACCAAAACAUGAACCAGGAGGCUCCUUAUAUAGCUGAGGGAUCUAGGGUUUAGGGGAAACCCUAGUUAUCCUUUGCUUAGGGCCUAAGCAAACCCAAGGGCCUUAUCCAAGCCCCUAUGGACGAAAUUAUUAGGGUUUCCCCUAAAGAUUUCGUCCACCCUUAUCCAAGGGGGUUCUAGAGCCUUCCACUCAACUAUUAGAUAAUUGCAAACUAGUCCCUGCACUUUAUAAUUAAUUCUUUUAACCCCAAAAUUAAUUCUAAUUAAUUUCUGGCUAACAAUUAAUUAAACAUAAUGAUUUAUAAUUAAUAUAUUAAUCUUUUAACAUAUUUAUAAAUUCAUUUAUAUUAAUUUAUUAAUCUUAUAAUAAAUUAAUAUCUCUCGUUUCAUAAUUUCCUUGUCUGGUUGAUAGGUUUGAGUGCAACCCAAAAGGACUGUGCUGCUAUCAAUUCAAGUACAUACCAAUUAUAGUUAUGGGCUUAGACACCUAAUCCAACAGUGCAUACAAAGGAUGUCAAGAUAUGAAUGCAUAUGUGUUUAGCCGGGAGUGUUUAAAGUCGAGAGUCGAGACCCAUAAUUUAAAUUAAGUGUGGGGUGAGUCAAGCGAGAAGAAAGUUAGAGAGAAGAGUCAGAAUUAAUAGGGUUAGAAGAGUCUUAAUCCAUUAAGACAUGGGGUUGAAUAUAAGAAUUGAAAGAAAGAUUGGAAGAAAAGUAUUUAUGGGAUUCUAGUUUUCACGUCGUGACCCCUUUUGUUAUUCACCUCGUGAGUCAGUAUCUGGUGACUUUCCAGAACCCGUUUCCAAUCGAAUUCACGACGUGAAUCUUCAUAAACUCACGUCGUGACUUUACCAUUUUCACAAAGGAGUCUUAUUUUUCCAUAUUCAUUAUGUGGUUCACCACCAUUCUUUUUGGGAUUAUUAUGAAGAUAAUUAUGGCUCCUUUUCUCUACCCUACAAUGUGGUGUAUGCUUUCCCACAUUGUUCUGUUCAUUUUGCACAUUUUUCUGCACCACAUUUGUUGAAGAUUGAAGACUCGAUUCCAUAUUUUGCCGGUACAUUACUUAUCUCGCGUAUUAAAGAUCCAAGUUUCUAUUUCUCAAAGUCUAUAUUCAAAAUGCACGUUUUAUCCGCGCUUUUGGAGAUGAUCACGUCACUAUCCCACGGGAGUCUGUUCCUUUUUCUCCUUUCUCUUAAUUUUUUAUAUUAAUUUAAGCAUACAAUGGGGGCAUUGUAUGAAAUAAGUGUGGGGUAGGGGGUAGAAAAAGUAAAUUGCUAGAUAAUUUGGUAAAUUUUGAAAUUUUUAAUAGUUAAAUCUAGUGAUAAUAAUUUGAACUGUAGUUGCUAGUGUUAUAUGGGAUGAUCCGAUAAGAGCUCAAAUGUUUAGUUGAGCCAAUACACGUUAUAGUGCAUUUGUGGCCUCCCUUAUUUUAGUGAAAUCAUGGAACAAAAACAUGACCCGACUUAAUUUGAGGAACGCAAAAUGUUUAGCAGCCUGAACCUGAAAUGUAUCCAGGAAAGAUAUGUCUUAACCAAUAAAGGUUGAAGUUAAGCGCCCUUACUUAAGCAUGUAGGUUUUUGAGUGAUGUAUAUAAAAAAGUGAGUUGUACAUGAAAAAAAAGAGAGAGAAAUUACUAAAAAAUUCUUGAAGAAUUUUGGAGCUAUCAAAGUAUGAAGAUCAAAGAUCAAAAUUCCAAAGAAUCAAAAGUUGAAGAUACCAAAAAUUAUAAAUGUGGUGAAUUCAAGCAAUCAAAGAUCAAAUAUCAAAGAAGGGAAGAAUUCCAAGAGCUCCAUUGUGGUAUCUAAAGUUGUAAUUUAUAGAUUAUGUAUGCUUGGGCAGCUUAACCAAAAAUAUCUUGAGGUUAAAAAGCUUUCUGAGGAUGGAUUCGGAGGGUUGCAUAAAAUGAGCAUUGUUCGAAAGAAGUGGGUAAUUGUUUAUGAAGAUUGUGAGUAUUUAAAGUAUGGGGACGUACUUUAGGAAAAAUUUAGACACAAAUGCAUGCGUUGAGGUCUUGGCAUAAUGGCUGAGCUGGAAUUGGAUUUUUCCAUGAGAUGUUAGUGGUGAAGGUUUGAGUUUAAAUAAGUAGAUUUGCUUGAGGGCAAACAAAGCCUAAGUCUGGGGUAUUUUGAUAUUGCCANAUAUAUAUAUAUAUUGGUCAUUUGCAUAGAAUAAUGGUACUUAUAAGGUUAAAUUAUAUUUUUCAGCCAAAAAGAAGACAUUUUGAAGAAAGGGACUAAAAGCGUUAAAGGAUGGAACUUUGGAGGUUGAAGGCUUGAAAGACAAGAAAAACACCCAAAAAAGAUGUACUCACGACGUGAACAGUUGAUGGUUCACGACGUGAGUGGAAAGAGUUAGAAGAUAAGCAUCCGGGUGAAGGAAUCCUUGACGAUCACGAUUACCUCGAGUUCACGACGUGAGUUUUAAAUUCUCACGACGUGAACGAUGAUUUUGCAUAAUAUAUAUACCCUUCUCCAUUACGAUUGGGGAUAACUUUGGAUGGCCUAGGAGGAUUCCUGGAGACGAAAUUCAGAGGAAAAGAAGCUCUGGAAGUUGGUUUUAACACCAAGGAAGGAGAAGUUCAUAAUUUGUCUUUAUAGAUUGGUACAUUUAAACAUGUUUUUGAUUAUAGUAUUUGUUUGUUUAGCUGUUAGUAUGUCCAGCUAAAUCUAGUUGCUUCUGUUAGCUAGAAGAAGCUGGAACUCAUGGUUUUAAUACAUUAGACUUAACUUUACUUGUUGGUGAUAUGCCUGUGUUGAUUGAUUUUACCUAGCACGCUUGAAUUAAUUAUUUGAUUGCUUUGAAUUCUUGUUUUGUGUAGUUAGUGAACACAAAUCUGCAUGAACUUGAAUACCUAAUAAUAUAGUGAGCACUAGUUUAUUGUAGCUAAGAUCAAACCAAUCUUAGAUUAGUAAUUGAAUCAUUAAAUCAAGUUAUGUUAGAGAACUCAUAUUAUGACUGCAAUUGUGUUUUGAUUAAUCAAUCUUUCAUGGCUCCAAUCUUAUUUAAUAAUUGAUUAUGUGUUAACUAUUGUAUGACCAUAAAUAGAUUUACAUGAAUUAAUUAAUAAUUAGUAGAUUUAGAAAUAAAUUGCUAAUACUUCUUUAAUUGGUCACCAACAGUAAUAGUCAUAACCAAUGUAUAACCAUUGAGUGAAAGCGGAUUCGAACUAACAGAAGUGUUUUGUUUAUUGAUUGAGUUUUUGUUAAAGGAUUAAGUUCAUCUAAACUUGGAAAAUUAGAUAAAACCCCCUUUUUAGCUUAUUAAUAAUUAGAUUAAUUUAGUAGUGAAUAGAUUAAUUAAUAACACCGUUCCCUGUGAUCGACACCCAACUUACCAAACUAUUCUAUAAUUCGACUAGGUACACUGCCUAGGUGUAUUUUAGUUAGUUAGUUAGUUAGGUUAUAAAUUAUAGAAUUAGUGGGUACUAUCGUGCACACCAAGUACUCAAUAAGGAUUUAUUUUGUAACUUGAAGGUUACAAUUGAAAGCCCAACAUAGUACGAAGAGCGGAUGCAGGAUUGAGCACUACCUGCUAUCGAGAAGUCCAAGAGUUAGUUACUCUUUCGAGGAAACAUAGAACUUACAUUUAUUACCUAGGAUGAAGAGAUAACAUACGGAAUCAUUAUACAAGUCCUAUUUCGUUGAUGAUUCCGGGACGUAAUCAUCCUAAGAGGGAGAUAAUUAUAACGCCCGCAGAUCCGGGCUAAUAAAUUUAGAGACGAUAAGCGUCAAAAUGACUUUUUGAUGGAAGAUUAUUUAGAAGGAGUAAUCUUAAAUAAGUUGUAGUAUAUAUUAGAAGGAUUCCGUACAUAUAAAGAACGCUGAAAUCCGAGUUAUAACGAAGAAGUUAUGACCUGUCGAAGUUUCGCGACAGAUGCGGCACGACACAACGCGACGUAAAUAGUGAAUUUACGUUAGAGCGAUAUUUGGGCUUAGUGAUCGAAACAGAAGUCGUAGAAUACGUUAAACCGAGAGCGUGCACAAAAAGAGUGCCAAAUCUGACUUUGUAUGAGGAAGUUAUGAUUUUUCUAAGUUUCAUCUUAGCGGUAUGCAGUCUGAAGUUCGAUUUUGAGAUCGAGUGAUUUCUAGCCGAAACAAUCUAAACGAGAAUCGAAGAUCUCUUUAAUAGUAGUGCAACGGUAAAAAGACAGAUGAGAACAGACGUCGGAGGAAGAAUUUAUGAAUUUAUAACGGAGUUUUCUUGUCCCGGCCUACUAAAAAUAACAUAAUAAAAAUAAAGUUGAAAUCAGCCGACAGAGUCUAAACGAAAGUUGUAGAGCAUAGUCUCAAAUACGUGUGGAUAUAAAGAACGUUGAAAAUGUAGUUCGUAUGAGGAAGAUAUGAAUUUCUGAAGUUUAUAAAUAAUUAAAAUAUAUUUAUUUAAUUAUAAAAUCGGAUAAUACCAAACCCGUGACUCAUCCGGCCCUAUCCACCCGGUACGCCCAGUGUACCUAGAUGUACGCCCAGCGUACAUGUCGACAGAGGAUUACGCUCAACGUAAUUUGGGGUUACGCCCAGCGUAACUCGGGGUUUCAGCCCCUAUAAAUAGAAGUCGAAGACAACCCAGUUCUUUGCUCAUUUUAUUUCUUUCUCUCUCAUUUUUGCAUCAUUUUACGUGCAAGAAAUAUCCCGAAGCCCCGAUAUUAAUCCCGAGCCCCGAAGAUCCAGAGAAGUAAAAUUCCUAAGCCGAAGCUCUGCCCGCGUGAAGCCCAGUUUUUGGAGAAAACGUCCCAGUUUUAUCGGAAAUGAUUAUUUUAAGAGACGAGGUGAUGUCCAAUCAUCGUCUUAUCAAGUGAGUGUGUAGUUAUUUUCUUCUAACACAUAAAUACGAAGCAUUUGCUAUGAAAUACGUGUUAUGUGUUUAUAUAUUGUUUGUUUAUUUGAGAUGGGUGGAAUGAAUGUUUUGUUGGAUUAGUGUCUAAGUCCAUAACUAUUUUGGUAUGUACUUGACCCGAUUAUGAGCAUGGUCCUUUUGGGUUGCCUUCACCAUAGCAAUAUGUAGGAUGAUUUAAGGAGAGAAAGGUUUAAAUAUGAUUUAUUAAUAUAUUAUGAGAAUAAUAUAUUAAAGGAGAAAUCAUAUUGUUUAAUUAAUAUUAGUCAAGAAUUAAUUGUUAAUUAAUUUUGUGGCUAAAAGAGAUUAAUUAAACUUAGGGGACUGAAGUUGUAAUUAUAAGAUAAUUAUAAUUGGGCUAUGGAUCACCUAAUAAUAUAUAGGUUGGACGAAUUCUAUGGGAAGUCCAUUAGAAAUCGUCCAAGGGAUAUGUUAAAGGAGUCCAUGGGCUGCUUAGGGCCUAAGCAGUCAGAUUAGGGUUUCCUAGUUCUAAACCCUAAUAGCCUACAUGUAUAUAAAGGGCCCCUAUGCCCCAAAAACGUGGACAAGUCUUCCAUUAGGGUUUCUAGUCGUUUUUGGGCAGCCUCCUUUCUUCUCCUCUUCAUCCAAGUUGUAUAUGGUGUUUGUGACUCCAUUAGAGGUGCAGCACUUGAGGCACUAAGCUUUCUAAGGCCAAUCCAAGCAAGGAAUUGAUUGUUAUUGCUAUAUAACAAUCAAAGGUAAUUCUAUAAACCCUAAUUCAGUUUAUAAUAUGUUAGAUCUAAGUUUAUUAGUCUUGGAUUCAAAGCAUGUACAAUAGAGAAACCUAGAUCCAAGCAUUAGGGUUUGUAUGAGCACAUAGGAUUGUUCUUAUGCAUAAAACCCAUCAGUGGUAUCAGAGCCUUGAUUGGUUUCAGUUGUAUGUGAUGCUUAACUGCUUUAUUUGCUGGAAAAUCGAUUUUUGGCCUCUGCCCGACCUGACUCGGCGAGUCAGUGGAGAACUCGGCGAGUCUGUCCCUGACUCGGCGAGUCCAGUCCCUGACUCGGCGAGUUCAGGGGUCAGACAGAGGGAAUUCCGGGUUUUUGCUGCUGUUUUGACUUGGAUUUGAUACCUAAUUCGUUUUUUGAAGUUAAAAUCCGAUUUUUAUCUUAAAUUAGUGAUUAUCCUUGCCAAAACAAUAGAUAAUUUCAAAUCUUUUAAAUAUUGGUUGUUUAUAUGAUAAAUAUGGAUUAUUUCAAAUUAUUUGGUAAUUAUCUAAUGACUAAAAUAAGAUUAGGUCAAAUAUAGAUAAUGAAUAAAUUAAUUGUUUAACUUAUAUUAUUUGUUAUUUGAUCCUUUGUGAUGUGAAAAAGUUUCAAUUGCACCCUUUAGGUUUUAUAGUUUAAAUUUGAACUUAAAAGUUUUGUUUUUGAAAUUUAAAUAAUUUAAACCCUAAUGUUUUGAAAUGUUUCAAAACUUGCCCUCAAGUUUUGGAAUUUAAAAUUUGAUUAAAAGUUUAAUUUUGAAAUGUUAAAUUCUAAAACCCUAGUAAUUUGAAAAGUUCAAAUCACACCCUUAUGGUUUUAUUAAUUAAUUAAAGUGUAUAAUUAAAAGUGAUUUAAUAAACCCAUAAAGUUUUGGUUUACAUUUAAUUAAAUUAAAAGUAUAAUUUACUAAGUUAAACCACCUAGUAUUUUAAAAGUGUAAAAUACACCCUAUACUAUAUAUGACAUUAAAAGUCUAAUAUUAUAUAUGUAUGAGUAAACAGUCAGUCUUACCGUUAGUAGGCCUCAUUCACGAAGCUGGUCUAUAAGGGGUGUUUAAGGAAAUUGCCUAUAAAAUGGCGAUUGAAUGGGUAUCCACUCUUACCCACCGCACUCUUGACUAGUGGAGGGUCGUUAGCCGAACGGGUAGGAUAGGACAGAAACCUUCCAUUAUAAGUAUAAUGAAGUACAAAGUAACUAAAUGCUUUUUCAAAUUCCCAAAUCAUAGUUACUUUAGGCAAAAUGUGAAAUUGUAUGCUAACCCAUGGAAUUACACUUCGUACCCUUGUCAAACGUUAGUGGAGCGUGUGUGGUUAACCGGCACACUAAUUUGGGGAUGACAUUGGUAGCGAAGGGUGACUCGAUGUUUAUCAUAGAUCAAUGGAGCGUGUGUGGCUAACCGGCACAUUGAUUAGGUGAUUGUAGCAUUGGGUGCACCACGUGAUUCGUAUGGUUAUUCACACCUUGUUUGUGAUCCUCGGCAUCCCAGUCACAAAUAGUAGGGCAUAAUCGAGAUUAAACAUGCCAUUGAAAAGUUCAAUGAAUCUCAAAAGAUCUAGGAGUUUCAAUUCAUUUAAAACUUAAUCUUCCUUUUCGUUUUUCAUGGUGGAAAUUGGUAAAUCGUCAUUUACCUACCUUCAAAUAUUUUGCAACUAGAUUACGGCAUCCCUUUUCUAGGUUGUAGAAUAUUGUGUUGGAUCCUAGCUUGAUGUUUCAUUUGGGUGUUACAUCAAGAAUUCUAAUCAACAUAACUUGAAUUUUCUCCCGUUUUGUAGAUGUCUGAAUCUUACAAUGGUCUUCCCAAAUCCUUUGGAACAAGCUUUCCAAAUGAAGAUGACGUUCCGAGAUACGAUCAAGGAAAUGAGAGUCAUGCUUCACUUCCUCCACCUCCUCCAAUUGUUCUCCCUGACCCACAAGUUCAAAGGCUUGAAAAGUUCAAGCUCACUCAAGCCCUUUUGGCAAGUAAACACGAAGAUGGGAAACCUGUGUGUGCACACGUCUUAGAGAUGAAGUCACACAUUGAUAGGUUAAGCAUGUUGGGUGUCGAGAUUUCAAGUGAGUUGGCUGUUGACUGGGUUCUUCAGUCACUUCCUGAAUCAUAUAGUGAGUUCGUUAGAGAGUACUAUAUGAUGGACCACGACGUGACCCUAAUUGAUCUCACCUAUUUGCUUAUAGCUGCUGAAUCAGCAAUGAUUUGGCGUGCUGGUCAAGCAAAUUUGUCUGGUGAAUCAAACUCCCAAACUUCAAUGGACACUGGCAACAUUGGAAGUCCAGAAAGAACUAAGUCUGUGAUUGUCCGAUGUGCUGUGCCAAAGGAGUCCAUUUGCUUUUAUUGCCAAGAGAAGGGGCAUUGGAGACGAAGCUGCCCUAACUACCUGAGAGAUCUAAGAGAUGGGAGAGUCAAGACGUAUGGCUCUGCUUCAGGUAAAAUCCAUUAUCUAACUCUUUUGAGUUCCUAUUCUAGAUUCUUAAUACAUGAUGUGAUAAGAUUACAUUUUGAUGUUUUGUAGGAUCGAAGAAAAGAGAGGAAGCUUGAGGGAAGAAGUGAGCUGAAUCUAAUCAUGAAGAAAUGGAUUUCGAUCGCAUUACUUGAAGAAUGGAUUCUUGAGCUACUACUUGGAGUUAGAAUAGAUUGUUAAGAAAUAUGUAAUAACAUAGUUUUUCAAUUGAAUUGCAUUGUAAGGACAAAUUUUUUCCGCAAUAAAAUGAAUUUUGAUUUUAUCUUAUUUAUUUAUCCUUGCAAUGGCAUGUAUGAAAAAUUGAUGUUUGAAUGUUUCUAUUAUUAGCAAUAAUGGAUUUGAUUCUUAAUUAUGUUAUUUGUGGAAAUGUCAAAAGUUUACCAAAUAGGGAGAGUUUCUCAUCGCCCAAGUUUCAAUUGGACAGAAACUUGGAAUCAUGCAAUGUGUAUUGUAUGAUGAAUGAAAAACUUUCACAUUUGGGAAAUUUAGACUAAUUCUUUGACAAAGUGUCAAUUGAAGGACUAGGAGAUCGAGUACACUAGGUCGUACGUUGAUCAAGUCUACCACAAGAGUGACAAAGAUAUUCGUCAUGAUUUACUAAAGUUUAGUAAAUAUGGUUAUACUUAUAAGAUUGAGUAUAAUUCUGAGUUAACUGAAAUAGUUUCAAUCAAUAGCAGAACGAAUAAGAAGAAUCAAGAAGGCAGAAAGAUAAAAGUUUCUCCAUUCUAAGAAGAAGGGAGAGUACCUUUUAUUGUGUUUUAUGAUGAAGUCUUAAUGAUUAAGAACCAUAUCUCAAUUGAUCCUCUAAGUGAGUCUUAGUGCAUUUGCAUGUCUAAGAAGAGGAAUCGAGAAUUGUAGAAAUGGUUAAAUCAAAGAGUCAAUCAUACUUCGUUCCAAUAUCAAGUCUUAGAGUCAUACUCCAAGAUUGUGACAUUGAGUGACAAGUCUUAAGUAGGUUUAUAACACUCAUCAAAUGUGGAAUUUGGAAAAGUUUUCUUAUUCUUGCACAUUAGAAAUUGGUAAGUUGUGAUGUCUUGGAUAAGACAAAGACCAACUAGGACCAAUUUGUGAAGUGUUUUGUCUUGAUAAGAACUACACUAACUCUUGAAUAUUUGCUUUGUCAAGAAAUGUUUCUUGACAAGAGAAUCUUAUAUGUCAAGGAGUCAGUGGGAGUCUUAAUGGUCUUGAAAGGUUUCAAGAACAAAUCAAGAAUAUACCUUAUCGAUCAUCACUAGCACACGACUUGAGGUUUGCAACCUAUCGUGCUGACAUUAUUUUGUUUUUGUGCCAUUCCAAUUGAGUUAAUUGCGUAUGUGAGUUCUAUGAGUUCUCAUUUGAAUGCAUACUAGAGCCUUAGUCGAUGGAAAGUACAUUGAUAUGUAAGGACAAGUUACUAAACUACUUGGAAGACAUGGUGGGCACUCGUGUUACCAUAAGGCAAGAAAUCAAGAUUAAGAAAGUUCAGUCCAUAUGAGUUUGGAUUUGUCGCAAACCUUGGUUUUGGCAAAUUCACAUGGAUAGGAACUCAUACACCAUAAAAUCUAAGUGUCAUAAGAUUCCCUCCUUCAUGAAAAUGACUGUGAGGAAAUGCUUUCACUAAAAGAGAUUUUAAGAAGAUAGCGAUUGUGAAAAUUGUAUUCUCAAAAUUCGAUUAUGGUUACGGCAUCCCUUUCCAUAGUUCGAAUUAUGAGAUUUGGCAAUUAGUUUCAACAUUUGGAACUUAGUAACAUAAGUUCUGAAUUGUUUAAACACACAUAUGAGCUAUCUAAGGCAAAGGUGUAUAAGUUUAAGAAGCUUAGAUAAAGGCUUAUCGAAGCAUCUGGUAUUAGAAAUAUGAAUUUCAGAAAUUCAAUAGGCAUUGUUUUCUGAAAGUUCAUUUGUUUUCUGAAUACAUGUCAAAGCUAGUGGGAGCAUAAGUGUUAUGCUUAUAUGAUAAUAAUCAUCAUGAUAGUGGGAGCAUAAGUGUUAUGCUUGUAUGAUUAUUAUGGCGAGUAUUGCAAGUUAGCAAUAUUAAUUAUAGAAAAACAAAGAUUCAAUUUGCAAAGUUGCAUGGGUUGAAAAGUUGUUUUAAUAUAAUUAAGGGAGAGAAUAUUAUACUUCGUUUCAAAAUCUAAAGCUUAGAUUGAGAAAUUUUAAUAUUUUCAGUCAAAGGAUACAUUGUGUGUUCUUAAAAUUCGAUUAUGAUUACGGCAUCCCUCUUCAUAGUUCGAAUUGUGAGAACAUGACACAUAAAAUAUUAUGGCAAAAGAUUGGUAAAGUAUCAUAUCUUUAUGUAAGACAUUAUGCAUCGUGUCCCAUACGCUUCGGGUAUAGGAUCGAUUGCAAAUGCUAUAAUAUUUUACCAUUCUAAAAUUUUCCAAAUGUCUAGCGCAUUAAGAGGGAAAAAGGACUAGAAUUGGUUUUGACUAAAAUAAUUAAACAACUAUCAAAGGACGAUCCAAAGUUCGCUGAGGAUUGGUCGCUUGUGAGUAGUUGGAAGUAUGGUAUUGGAUGGACCAUAUCGACAUUAUUAUGAAUAGAUAAGAUUCUAUUAAGAAUGAGUUGUCAUAUGGCAAAUGUGGAAAUGUUUCCAUAUUGGGAGUUGGAUAUUGAGAUUCUAUGCCUAGAUUAGAAACUUUUAUGCAGGAAGGAUGUUCAAAUGAAUGUACUUUGAAUGUGAGACUUCACGUCUAUGGAAUUGUCUUGUAACAAUGUCCGAUAGAGUACUUUAUAAUUUCAUUAGCCAAGUCUUGGUGACUUUUGUGCUAUGACUUUAUGAAAGGAUCGUUGCAUAAGAUGUUAGAAUCUAGCAUAUUCUAAUAGUAGCAAAGAACCUUGUGUUCUUACACUAAUGAUAAGGAUUGGGAAUUGUGAAAUGAGCAUCAUUGAAAAGGUUUUUCAAUUGAUCUAUUUCACAAAGUAAGGACCAUAGGAAACAUAGUGUGCAUGCUUUAUGCAUGGGACAGCUAUUGUUGUAAUUUGAGUAAUAAGUUGAUUUUCUGAAACAGUAAACGAUAAUAAUGAGUAAUCAAUAUGGUGGUUAAAUAGAAGUGUUUUAUUUACUCUCACAAGUUUGAGGCCAUAUAGGAUUAAGUAUUAUUGUUAUGUUUCAAUUUGCAUGUUUUGACUUCCAGAAUAACUAGGUUAUUCAAACAUCCACAGUCGGUCAUACGUUGGGAGUAGGUAUGAAUAAAGACUGUCAUGAAUCUGUCUGUAGAUUGUCUGAAGUGUUUAGACAUAGCACAAGUUUGUUGCAGAGUUCAUGAGUGCUUUGAUAAGAUUAGAGUAUUGGAUUAAACCCACGCUCACUUGGAUCACUUCAUGGUUUUAUCACGAGUGAUUAGUGAGACGAUAAUAUUGUAUAUUCUUGAAACCGAGACGUGUGAGUUGUUAUUUGUUGGUCGGUUGCACAUUGAUAAUAAGUAAACGCACCAGUAACUUGGUGUUAUAAAACUUAUUGUUGUGUGUGAUUCGAUCAGUAAAUGCAAGCGAGCAUUUGAGUCGAAGUUUAUCCAUUCCUUUUACCCAAAGUGGGAUAAAAGCGAUAUCUGUGGGCCUCUCGAUGAUUUAGUGAUGACACCUAAGCGCUUGGCCAAGCCGGGACUAAGUUGAUGUGUUCAAUUGUAGUCUGUUGUCAGUCGUCAUAAAUCGGAAGUCGGGAAACAGUAUAGAGAGAAUGAUUGAAAUUCAUGUCUUUUGUCUAUACGAUAUCUUGAGAAUGGAGGAAUAUAUAAUCCCUUAUCUAGAGGACACGCUAUCUGAUAAGAUCAGAGUUGACAGCGGCUUUUGAAAGCUACGAUUGCUGAUCAGGUUCUGAAGUCAUACGGAAAAUAGUUAUUAGACUUAUCCAAGUGGGAGACUGUUGGAUUAGUGUCUAAGUCCAUAACUAUUUUGGUAUGUACUUGACCCGAUUAUGAGCAUGGUCCUUUUGGGUUGCCUUCACCAUAGCAAUAUGUAGGAUGAUUUAAGGAGAGAAAGGUUUAAAUAUGAUUUAUUAAUAUAUUAUGAGAAUAAUAUAUUAAAGGAGAAAUCAUAUUGUUUAAUUAAUAUUAGUCAAUAAUUAAUUGAUAAUUAAUUUUGUGGCUAAAAGAGAUUAAUUAAACUUAGGGGACUGAAGUUGUAAUUAUAAGAUAAUUAUAAUUGGGCUAUGGAUCACCUAAUAAUAUAUAGGUUGGACGAAUUCUAUGGGAAGCCCAUUAGAAAUCGUCCAAGGGAUAUGUUUAAGGAGUCCAUGGGCUGCUUAGGGCCUAAGCAGUCAGAUUAGGGUUUCCUAGUUGUAAACCCUAAUAGCCUACAUGUAUAUAAAGGGCCCCUAUGCCCCAAAAACGUGGACAAGUCUUCCAUUAGGGUUUCUAGUCGUUUUUGGGCAGCCUCCUUUCUUCUCCUCUUCAUCCAAGUUGUAUAUGGUGUUUGUGACUCCAUUAGAGGUGCAGCACUUGAGGCACUAAGCUUUCUAAGGCCAAUUCAAGCAAGGAAUUGAUUGUUAUUGCUAUAUAACAAUCAAAGGUAAUUCUAUAAACCCUAAUUCAGUUUGUAAUUUGUUAGAUCUAAGUUUGUUAGUCUUGGAUUCAAAGCAUGUGCAAUAGAGAAACCUAGAUCCAAGCAUUAGGGUUUGUAUGAGCACAUAGGAUUGUUCUUAUGCCUAAAACCGAUCAUGUUUUAUAUAGGUUUUUAAUUGAGUUAACCUAUAUAUUUAUUUUUAUAUCUACAAAUAUGUUGGGUAGAACAUGGGUAGAUGGAAUAGUUGGUGUACGAUGAGAGAUGGUAUGAGUAAACCCUGGCGACAUUGUGACGUAGUGCCUAUUGAGUAAACCCUGGCGACUAUGCGACGUAGUGCCUAUUGUAUAAACCUUGGUGACUAUGGAGUUAGCGCCUAUUAAGUGAACCUUGGUGACUAUGGAGUUAGCGCCUGUUAAAGUGAACCUUGGUGACUAUGGAGUUAGCGUCUGUUAAGUGAACCUUGAUAACUAUGGAGUUAGCGCCUGAUAGCUAUGGAUUUAGUACCUGAUAGAUAAACUUUGGCAGCAAUGGACUUCGUGCCAAUCCCUUAGAUCAAUCCUUAGGAAUGAAUGAAUGAAGGACAGUUGAUUCUUAGGGCAAAACCUUAAGAGUAAAGAAGAUAAUGGGGGUGGGUAAUUGGAUUGAUUGUUUGAUAAUUGAAUAUAAUAAUUAUAUUAUUGUCGGUUGAAAACCUUAUAUGCUCACCAGACUCUCAAGCCUGACCCACUCAGUUUUCUUUGUAUCACAGGUAUCGAUACGAAGACAUAUUUCACUGAGAGAUUAAAGGAGAUGUAAAUCAUUAGUGAAAAUAAAUGUAAGUUCUAUUUAUGCUUAUAUGUCUGUAUCGAAACAUGACAUCCCGAGAUUUUGUUAUUUAACAAAAAUACAUUUCUUUAAAGAUAUGCUUUGAUAAAUUCUUAUCAUAUUUUGUUUAGGGAACAAAUUCCGCAACCGUUUUCUUUAAACGAUUACUCUGAUUUUAAAACAAAGCAUAAACAAAUCGGUUUUUUCUGGCCAUGAAAAUCGGGGAUGUCACACUCCGUGCCAUAAGUUAGGCUGAACAGGGUUUCUUUUGUGCUUACUCUCGAGGUCAUCCUAUACGACUAGAGUACGCUUGGCAGUUCUUCGACCCAGUUUCCUUUGGCUUUUCCGAGACGCUUUUUAAUUCCAUUCACUAGUGUUUUGUUGGACACCUCCGUUUGGCCGUUUUCCUGGGGGUGUGCCACCGAUGUUAACUGCUGCUUGAUUCCUUUUUCGGCGCACCACCCUAGGAACGGAUUCUCGGUGAAUUGAAGCCCAUUAUCACUAAGCUCUUAUAUUAUAAUACUUAGUGUAUUAAAACUUAAAUACUUAGCGUAUUCACAAGGCUUAGCAUAGCCAAAAUCUAAACACUCAGCGUAUUCAGAGAGCUCAAAGCGAGCCAUAAUAUCGAAAUACUUAGUGUAUUUACCAGGCUCAGAACAUGCCACAAACGAUUAAGUACUUAGUGUAUUUGAUAAAUCAAAACACCCAACACGCUUAUACGACCCAGAGUUAUACUAAGAGCACCCAUAAAACCAAGUCAAGAUUAAAAGCAAAACGCACAAAAACACAAGCGUCGUUCAUAUCAAAAGAUAAAAGAUUAUUACAAGCAGAGCAUGAGAGGCCACCUCCAUCAAACUAUCCAAACACAAGAAAAUGGGUUGUAACGAUUCAAAUAUUUCACACCCUUUAUGGGUAGCACACGGUACAAAGUACCUUAAGAAACAACAGGCCCAACACCAUCAUCGCCACCUGCAGCACCACCAUUACUAAUAAUCGCAUCGCCACCAGCACCAUCACUAACACCUGCAUCACCACCAUCACGAACAACAGCAUCGCCACCAGCACCAUCACCAUCAAUAUUAUCACCGCCACCAAGAAACACGCCUCCAGAAAGCUCAUCACCAUCCUCCAAUGCACAAAGUCAUCACAUGCCUUCCCUAUCCAAUCUCCCCGAGCCCAACAGGGACGCACGAUCCAUAGUAGCAAAUGCCAGUAGAGCUUCAUUAACGCUCAAAGAAUGAUCGGACCGGGAACCACUGGUAUCAGAAUCAUGAGAACCAGACUCCAUCGCAGCUUUCAAACUACUCCAACCAAAUUCUUUCCCAGCAAAAAACGCUGCAUGCCUAAUCAAAAUGACAGCACUGGUAAAUUCAAGAUGUUCGAUCAACUUGUCCACAAUGCAGACAACACCAACGCACAAAAGCCAAUCUCAAUCGCGCUGAGUAGCUUAUGCCUCUACUCGAGCAUCCGCAAUCAACUUGUCACGAUCUCAAACAUCGUGCUCAAGGCUUUCAUUCUGGAUCACAAGUCCUUCGUUGGCUUGGGUCAGGCCAUCCAACUUUUAUUCUAAAGAGGAUCGAACUUCUUCAACAACAACUUUCUCUGACAUAAGAAAUGCACACUUCUGCUCUAGACCAUGAACAUCGUUCUCAAGAUCAACAAUCUGGCACUUCAAGCUAGCUUCCUAGACGCUGCAACCCCAAAUGGACGGCUUCCAUCUCAUUAAGUAUCUGAACAUGGCGGGCACCGGCAACCAGGUAGAACACAGCUUGGGCAGAAGUAUAGGUUAUAUUAUGGGCCAAAGUCGGACUACCAAUGGCUUCCAUGUCAGAAGCAGUAGCCGGGGGAAAGGCGUGACGGGAAAAUUCUAUGGAAUUAGCACGAAUGGACAAGCGAGAGUCAUCUCGUAAGUUCCAAGUGGGGACAAACACACGAGUACCAGGAUUACCCCAAAAGCUUCUUCACGGGGAGGAGUAUGAUGCAACCCAAUGCCCCCAGAACCUCUAGGGGGAGAAACCAGAAGAAGAUUGGGAAAUACGCUGAACAUGCACUACAGGCUGCUUAAGCGCCCCUUGAUUCACCCGGGACUGUUGAAUGUCGUCAUCAGGAAUCAAAACAAUUGCUUCCGACAUUGAAGAUAUGGAGGUCAAAAAGUUGUGCCUUGACUGAACCCUCCUCCCAAUAUUAAACACACAGGUGGAAGCGUCACCCAUCGCAAGACGGCCAUCCUUUUGGCAAUCACCCGAUGAGCGUUGGAGAUAAUGCCAUAUUUGUUGGCUUCGACCAUAUCUGUGUAACCAGAACAACCAGCAGAGGAAGGAGGACGGUUGAAAUUGGUUGGGGAGCCAAAGGUGAAUCUUUGGCAGACACAGACGAAUCUUCCACCACCGGCGGUACAGGAGUAGCAGUAGUCAAGGCAAACUGGUCAACCCAACAUGGUGGAAGAAGAGUCUUGACCAGAUCUGUCUCUCGAUGCUCUAGUUUCCCAUGAUAGCGUUUUCGCAAAACCUCGUCUAUGGACAACGGAGACUCCACCCCUGCUCAAGCAAUAGCAAAUCAAAGACACUUUACAGAGUACAUGCUAAUUAUCACUUCCUCCUCUCUUUUUUACAAAAAAGGGGGGGGGGAGAAGAAGUAAGAAGAAGAACAACAGGACUUCUUACCGUCGACAACAGUGAAAAAGAUGGGCAAUUUUCCUCGACACCUCCAAGAAGGACUCAUCCCUACACCAGCAAGAAACGCCUCAGAGUAUUCUUCAGGAGCAACUUGAACACCUUUCAACAGAUCAAUUAUACUUUGGUUAUGGGAAAACAACUUAGGGGUGACGUCAGCUAGAGUGUUCGCUCGAUACUGGCCGCUACCAACCAAACCAUGGUUGACCCAUAACCACUUGUCAUGCCGGUUUUAGGAGUCGUUCCGUCGGGAACCAAAGUAUGCCCCCUCGCCGGACAGAAAAGGAGUACUUAUCACUAGUGGCUCAAAAUCUGAAGAAAUAGUUGAAAACGAAGUAGUCUGGGAGUAAGCCAUUAGCCCGACAGAUCAUUUCGAGCGCCACAACCUUGUUCAAGAGUCUGCAAGUAAACACCCACUUUAUCAGGCGGAGGACAUGAGAUCAUCGACCCAUGCAACGGGAAAUCCACCCCAUCUGCCGAUAAAAGACCGUAUGCAUCCUCGAGGAGCUUAAAGUUAGCCUCCAAAGGAGUAUAACCAAUUUGGGCAGCCAUAAAGACGAAGAACAGAAACAACCCUGAGGAAAAGAAGAGAGGAUAAGGAAAGAAUACAAAAAAAGAAGACUCUACAUAACCUUAUAAAGGAUGAGAAGAGGCGGACAUUCAAAACACCUGGUGUAAUUAUGUAACCGACUGCCAUAAUGGUCAGUCACGUCGCUGAAAAAAUCGAAGCGACAGUUGAAUCAAGAAAUCGACGUGUUUACUGAGCAAUUGAGUACAAAACAUCAUAGCUAGCCUAGCAACGCAAUGACUACUGGACUAUGGGACUUGAUGAAGUUCCCUAGUAAGCACGAAAGAUUCGCGCCCAGUCGCGGUAGGAAAUAAUGACAUGCCUCAUCGAGCACGGAAGGCUCGCACCCAAACACAACAGAAAACACCUUAACGUGUAACGUGCCCAGUCGGCCAAACCCAGGGCAAUCUAGUGCCCGUCAGCACCCCUCAGAGCAGGGCGCUCCCGAAGAAAGGCUUGGCCCCUCCUGGGACAACUUCCGCUCUAAGACAAACACAAUGGUUAGACGACAAAGCAGAUGCUCAGGGCACUACCGCCACCACCAAUCGUUGGCCUUGACAGAUUCAGGAGCACGAUCCACCAAUCAACAUCCCCGAUCCUGUCAGGUCUGACGCUCUUGUCCUAUACGAACUAGCAGGGGAGUUCAUUGUAAAAGGCUACCCCUGACGCCUUGAGAAGUAAUUCACUCUCUUCCAGUUAUUCCUCGUAAAACCCUCAAUAAUACUCACUAACUUAACCAUCAGAGCGUUUUCCCAGGAGUCCCUCCUGGAGAACGGAUGACGGCCGCUUUCUUGUUGUGGCCUCGCAAGUUCACCAGGGUGAUUCGACCUGGAGAACCAAGAACACACGAUCAUGUCACAUCAGUUGCACUAGCAUAUUGUUGUACACUGAAAGGUGCCUCAGGGUUGGGACAUAAAAGCUUCGCUAUUGAAACAGAAAGGUUAGUGGUUACGUUGAUAAAAGGGGAGGGUUGGGUGUGAGCAAGUUUUUGAUGCGACCUGUUCACCGAGCGUUUUUGUUCGCUGUUUCUGGCUGUUUCGCUGCACCUGCAAGGUCACAACAGGGUGGAACUGUCAUUCAUUCUCUGGGAGGAGGCUCCCGGAAAAACGCUCUGACGGUCAAGUGAGUGGAUAGACUUGGAUAUCUUUCUGAGUGAACUGGGAGAUAGCGACUUACUUUCCUAGGUACCAGUGUUGGCUUUUAUAUUGAGGCUUUCAGCUAGUCCAUACGAGACAAGGGCGUCAGAGCCAAAAGGAUCGGACGCGUUGAUUGGGUAAUCAUGCUCCUUGUUCUGUUAGAGCUAAUGAUUAUUUCAGGUGAUAAUGCGUUGAGCAUCCUCCUUAUUUUCUGGAGUCGUUACACUUUGUUGUAGAGUAGAAGGCACCCCUGGUGGGUCCAGUCUUUCUCCACGAGCACCCUGCUCUUAGGGGCGUUUGCGGGCACGAGGUUCCCUCGGGCAUGCUCUGUUAGGCGUGACCUGCCUUGGGGAGUGUUCUCCGGCGUGUUCGAAGCGCGACUCCUAAAUCAUGCCAAUGACACGUAAUCAAUAUCGAAUUUGGAAAUCAUCAAAUCCCUCAUCAUGGCAUAACAUCUUGAGAUUAGGUUAGGUUUGAAUGUCUUUAGCCUUGGCUAGACAAGCAGUCUUCUAUUUUCAAUAAUAAAAUCUCCUGACUCAAGAACAAUGACAGCCUCUGAAGUCUCACAAGGCUUGUUAUUCAAAAUUUGGCCUCUAACAACACUUACAUAGGAGGUUUCAUGUAUCUCAAUCUUACAGGGAAUUGUAUUCGAGCGCUUAUCCUUUUUUACUAUAUGUGGAAUUGAUGCAAAAAGCUUAUAGAAACCAAACCAAACAUCAAAUAAUUUCGUGAUCAUAAGAUCAACAUCACGUAUUCCUGAGAAUCUAACAAAUCCGAACCGUAUCCCCAAACAAAAUUUCUUAUUAAAAAUAAAAACAUCAACAACUUUGCGCAAACGAGCACACAUACACCACAUAUCAGUGCGUAACACUGAUUCUGGAAAGUUUGUAACAUAAAAAGAUUAAAUAUAAGACCUUCCAUUAUGGUCAUCAAGAAAACAGACACUCUUUUUUCUUCUACAUUCCAUCAAUACGACAAUCCUUUUUCCACUCAUCCCCCUUGUGUCCAUCGAGAAUUAGAAUUAAACAUGAUUGUGAUCAAGAACUUUCCCUCCUAUACGAUAUGGUUCAGUGUGCAAGAAUUCCAACGCAGAAAGUAUACAAUAGAACAAUCAUAUUAGAAGAAGAUAGUCGAUCAAUUAGAAAUCGAGGCAAUAGAGUUGAAACCCAAGCCUGCCGGUGUUUGGUCCCAGCGUAGAAGAAGGGUCGGGGACGGUGAUCGCCAAAGUCAAAAUUCCGAAAUAGACAAAGAACUUUGAACAUUCCGAUUAAAUAUCUCUUAUUGUUGUAUUUUGUUGAUUCCUUACUUACACAUUUAAUGUAUUAUUUAAUUUAAGAAUGCUUUUACUAUUGUUGUUUGUUGUGUUCNNNNNNNNNNNACCCACGAACAGUAAAGUUUCUAAGGGGUUGGCAGAAAUGGUCCCCUAUUUACAUGCAGGGGAGUAGCCACUUAUUACCAAAGUGGGUCCUAAGACCCACCUAAUUUUUUAAUUUUAUAUAGUAUUUUUAUUGAAAUAAAAAAUAGGAACUAUCUUGAAAAAAAUAGGACCUACCUAACACUAUUUGACAAAAUAAGAAAAAUAAUAAUAAUAAUAGAGGACUUAUACUUAAAUUUCAAAGCAAAUGGUUAAUACUUUCAAAACUUAUCACACCGAAAAUAAAGAGAGAGUUGAAGUUUGAUAUUACAAAAAUAAAUUAUGAAUGGUUAUUAGGAAAUUUAAAAAAGAACAUAACUACUUUCAUACCUUUGGUUGUACAAAAUGGUUGUUGCAAAUAAAUUCUUAUAAAAGAAAAGAAACUUGGUCGAUUAAAAUAGUUUUUUUUUGUUGUGAAAAUCAAGUUGCAGGGUUAAGUAGACUAGUUUUCCUAGUUUUCAGCUCUUCUAUCGGUUCGACAGUGGUUUGACCUGACUCGAUUUGUCACAUAUAACGUUGACUCUUUAUUUUUUCCCUUUCACUUGACUAUGAACCACGUGUUAUUCUAUUCUAAAUUUGCCACUGUUUAUAUNNNNNNNNNNNNNNNNNNNNNNNNNNNNNNNNNNNNNNNNNNNNNNNNNNNNNNNNNNNNNNNNCUUUAUAUUCUUACUGAACACGUGUUAGCAAUCUACCUUAUCGUGCCACAGCUUCUCGAUUCCACCACCAUUCUUUACUUUUGCUUUCCUUACUUAUGCCCACCGUUUCAAUUUGGUCAUGGCAACCACUUCUUUCAUCGUUACCGGAGCCCCGUUUUGGAAAUCGCGGCGGAGGUGGCGCCGGCUAGACCAACGGAGACGCUACGGCUGGCGAACGGUUGGGAAUCGUUUUCGAAUGGUGCAGUGGAGUCGGACACGGUUCAGUUGUCCCUUCUGUUUCUUAUCUCACGACUGCAGCUAUGAGAUGUUGCUAACCCAUCAUGACCCACCGAUCGGUCUCUUUAUCGGUUGGUCAUCGACUAAAAUCUUUGUUCGGCUUCCCCAUCUUCUCUUACCUAUUCUGGCUGCUUCCAACCGUCUGUAAAUCGAUUUCAGCCUCCGAUUUCACAACUUUGUUUUGGAUUUGAUUUUAGGAAUGUUUUUAGGAUUUUGAAAUCGCCAGCGUUGGUGGGUAGUGCACAGCUCACCACCUCCCUUCUUCCAAUUAGAUGCUCUUCUGCUGCUCACAGCUUGCUUUUUUGUUUCACAAAUCAUCAAUUUCACAUGGUCCAGGUUCGAUUUUCCUUUCAUUCUAUGCUCAAUUUGGCUUUUGUUUUUGAAAAAUCUGACCUUUGAAGCCCUAAUUCGCACUUCAAAACCGAUCAAAUAAUUCUUACUUUGAAAUAGGCAGAUUUAUGCCGCUGCUCCGAUGGCGUCGAAGACGGCCAUUUGAAGACUAAAGAACGCUAGUUGUCACACAUAUCUAUUUUUAUUUGAAGUAGAGGCUUUGGAUUGAAUAUUAGUCUUUUGCUUUCUCAUUGGUUGGCAUUUCUUUUCUUUAUAGGAUAAACAAAUAUCGUCUGAUUAGGGAGGAGCAAAGGCGGGAGGCUGAGUCUGAACCCUAAUUUGAUUCUCCGAUUUCAAAGUAAUUAGUUCAGUUUGGAGGUCAGAACUUAUCUUUGUAUUCUUUGCUUUUUGGGUUUUAUUUAUUAAUAUUCCCUUUCAGUUUGUCACCUGUUUAGGCAUAAGUAUAUGAAAUAGAGCUGCUGUUAUUGAUGGCGACCAUCAAAAACUUUAGAUGUUUACUAACAAGGAGUUUUAGAGUUUAUCACCUGGUUUUAUUUAUUAAUUUCAUAUGAAUAUAUUCUAAUAAUGGUGUUCAAAACAGAGUACAACCAUUGCAUUAUUGGAUAUUUGGAACAAGGAUCGUUUUGUAUGUCAAUAAUAUUGCUAUGAUUAAGUAAAAUUAUCAAAGUGAAAUGCUGCAAAAACUUAACUUUCGUUUAAUGAAAUCUGAUCUUUUGUUGCAAUUGUUGUCUUGUGAGUAGCCCAACAUCUAAUAAAAGGAGUUUUGAAGCUGAUUAGUAUUGAAAGUUUGACAAUUUAUCAUGUGAAAAGCCAUUUACAGGUAUGUAUUAUAAGCAAUUUAUUGGUUACCCACUUAAUAUGGUAAUAAAUAAUUGUUUAAACAAUUUUUUUGUUCUCUUCUUGCAGUUUAAGGGUGUGUACGGGUGCUUAUGAUGAUGAGAUGAUAAGAGCAUGGGUAGAAUGGGACAAAAAAAAAUUCAGAAAAUGAUCAUCAUUCAGAGUUUUCUGAAAAUGUCAUUUUUAAUUUAUUUCUUCAUUCUGUUUAUGUAGGUGUGGAGAUGUCUUUUUUUAAUACUUUUUUGAUAUCAUUUAUCUGUAAAACAUUUUAUCUAUGACAACACAAAAAAAUGGAAUAAAAAAGAAACAGGGUUUAAGUGAUUUUUUUUUCCGAAAUACAAAACAACAAUUUUUGGUUUUCAGGUGAAGAUAUUCUAUUUCUGGAUCUAUCAUUGGACCCUGGACUCUUUGAAGGCCCGAAAGGAGUUGAACAGGUGGACCCUGGACUCUUUGAAGGCCCGAAAGGAGUUGAACAGGUGACGCAAACAUAAUUUAUUGAUAUCUGCUAACAACUUAAUCUUAAAAUUUGCUAUCUCUAAUGUUAUAUUAUAUUAUUAUAUCUUUUUUUUUCAGGAUUCUGUCGAAGAGAGAACAAACACUAAAAUAAAAUGAAAUGAAAAUAACCGGUCUAUUAGAUUGUUUUCUUAGGCAUCCGCGAUGUGAAGCCGUUCUCCAUGCAUAAAUAAAUCAAAACGUUCUCCUGUUUAGUAAAGUUUCCCACUUGCUUACAAUAAUUAACCCUGCAUCUUAAAAAUAACAACCAACGACACUAGGGAUGAGCAACGGGCCAAACCCGGACCAGACCGGCCCGAAGACCGAAAACCCGAAGACCGAAAAUCGUGAAUUUUCUUACCCGAAAACCGGACCAUUUUUGGAUGUACGGGUUCUGGUUCGGUCCGGUCCGGUCUCGGGUACUAAACCGGGUUUCGGGUUUUGGACCGAACUAGGCUUUGAAAUUGGUACAAUGUGGGACUUUACUUAGAUUACGUGCAAAUGAGAUGUCUACAAAAAAAUACAAACCUUAUUAACAUUUGGAACAAAUAAAAAUUACACUAUUUAGCACAAAAACUACACUUUUUAUAAAAAAAUGCAUGUUUUAACAAAAAAGAAACAACAUUGUUAAUAAAAAAAACUGCAUUUUAACAGCUUUUUUGUGUAAAAAACAACAUUAUUUAUAAAAAACUGCAUGUUUUUAUAAAUUUUUUUUUGCAUGUUUGAACAAAAAAUAGCAUGCUAGAUACAUUUUUUCUUGUAAAGUGAUAAGAACAAACGUUGAUCAAGAUCUAUAAAUAAUGUUAUAAUAAAAACAUCAAGUUUUAUACAUAAUGUUAUAUAUAACAUUAACUAAUAAUUCAAUAUCCAUAUCUAUAUAUUUUAAAGAGAAAUUUUUUUUCGGUCCGGUCCAGGUUAAAUCCCGUAUUCUGGGUACGGUCCGGUCCAAACCCGAAACCCGAUUAGCGGUAAAAACAAAACCCGAAAACCGGCCCAUUAAUAUGUAUAUCUGGUCCGGUCCGGGUCCGGUCCCGGUUUUUUUUCCGGUCCGGUCCAACGGGUCAUAUGCUCAUCCCUAAACGACACAAUACUUAUCGCUAGACCACAUACAUAACACAUACAUAACAAAUAAACAAAAGACUACAACUAUGUUCUUAACCGAACAUGUAGAGCGGAGUUUCACACCUAGUUUACAAUUAAACUAAUAGACCAAAAUGAUAAUAAGAUAAUUGAAGAAAAUCAAAUUAUUUUCAUCUAAAUGACGUAAAUAGCAGUAUAAAACAUCUUAUCAUUUUCUAACUUUAACGCNNNNGAAUUAUUGUUAUUUUAAUGGAUCCUCACCAAUUCAUAUUCAAUUUUGUUCUCAUUCAUUGUUUUUUAUUUAUUUUAAUUUUUACAUAAUACGAUUGAAUAAAUAUCUUGAUAACAUUUUGACAGAAUGAGAAUAAUUAAAAAAAAGUGUACAACAACUUUAUAGACGAUUUAAUUAGUGAAAAUGCUUAAUAAUUAAAAUAAUUAUAUAAGAUUGAACGUAUUCAUAUUAUCAAACAAUAUAUUUUCAAUGUAAUUCUCACAGAAUAACAUUAUCCACACGUGCACACAAUAGAUGUCAAUCUACAUUUGAAUNNNNNNNNNNNNNNNNNNNNNNNNNNNNNNNNNNNNNNNNNNNNNNNNNNNNNNNNNNNNNNNNNNNNNNNNNNNNNNNNNNNNNNNNNNNNNNNNNNNNNNNNNNNNNNNNNNNNNNNNNNNNNNNNNNNNNNNNNNNNNNNNNNNNNNNNNNNNNNNNNNNNNNNNNNNNNNNNNNNNNNNNNNNNNNNNNNNNNNNNNNNNNNNNNNNNNNNNNNNNNNNNNNNNNNNNNNNNNNNNNNNNNNNNNNNNNNNNNNNNNNNNNNNNNNNNNNNNNNNNNNNNNNNNNNNNNNNNNNNNNNNNNNNNNNNNNNNNNNNNNNNNNNNNNNNNNNNNNNNNNNNNNNNNNNNNNNNNNNNNNNNNNNNNNNNNNNNNNNNNNNNNNNNNNNNNNNNNNNNNNNNNNNNNNNNNNNNNNNNNNNNNNNNNNNNNNNNNNNNNNNNNNNNNNNNNNNNNNNNNNNNNNNNNNNNUCUUUCUUUCUUUAUUGGAUUAUUAAUUUUUUUAAAUAACUUUUUUUAAAUUUAUUUUUUAUUGAAUUAUUACUUUUUUUCAUCAUUCAGCACAGUCAAUCAGAUGUACAAUUAAACAACAUGGUUUCUUUCCCAGUCAGAAAACUUUCCCAGACAACACUUUACCAGACAGAAACUAUCCAACGGGACCUUAGCUUUUUAGAAGCCAAAAGUUUUUUUUGGAAAAGUUACAAAAAGUCAGGUUUUCCUGACUUUUCCAAAAAGUUGAUUUUUCUUCUAUCCAAAAUCCAAAAGUAGCUUUUAAAAGUCUUUUGUCAAAUAUCUUUUACCUUUGAUCUUUUCCUAAAAGGAAUUUUGGCAUCUUAAAAGCUAAGCCAAACACCCCCUUAGUUCUCAAUAAGUUUAUAUCAUUUAAAUCGAUUUAUCACACUAGCUAAUUUUAGUAGUUUCCUUAAAACAUUAAAAGGCAUUUGGUGAAACGGAAGAGUUCACGCAUAUAUAUNNNNNNNNNNNNNNNNNNNNNNNNNNNNNNNNNNNNNNNNNNNNNNNNNNNNNNNNNNNNNNNNNNNNNNNNNNNNNNNNNNNNNNNNNNNNNNNNNNNNNNNNNNNNNNNNNNNNNNNNNNNNNNNNNNNNNNNNNNNNNNNNNNNNNNNNNNNNNNNNNNNNNNNNNNNNNNNNNNNNNNNNNGAGAACUCAUAGUUUUCCGAGAACCCGAUAACUAAAAGUGGAGCGUUAGAUCAAAAUUAACUCAUUAAUCGCAUGAUCGUCAUCUUAAGAAUCUCAUUUAAUGUUUAAUUUUUUUGUUAUUGGAAAUAUUAAUAAAAUGUUCUAAAAAUUAACAUAAUAAAUCAAAUUUCAGAUUUUUUUAAAAAAAUUAAUAUUUUUUACUUUUUUCAGAACAUGAAUUUAUGAAAAAAAUUGAAAAAAAAUAUUUUUUUAAAAAACUGCAAUUUUUAAAAAAAAAACUUUAUUUUUGUCCAAAAAACUGUAAUUUAAAAUAAAAUUGCAAUUUUUUCUAAAAAACUGCAAUUUUUUUUUAAAAAAACUGCAACUUUUUUCAAAAAAACUGUAUUUUUUUAAAAAUUAAAUAUUUAAAAAUCAAUAAAUUAAAAAAAAAAACUAGAAUAUUUAAAAAAAAACUCUAAUUUUUUAACCAAAAAAAUCAAAGUUUUAGGUGCAUAUAUGCAUAUUUUUUCAAAUGUAUAUAUGCAUAUUUCUUAUACUAUAAUAUUCGUAAGUAAAAUCAUAAAAAAUCUCAUUUUUAUUAGGCAAUCUAUAAACAUAAUAAUACAAGAAUUUUAUUUGAUACAAAAUAAAAUAUAAAAACUAAAAAAUGCUACAAAGAUUCAUAGUGUUGUCAUUUCUUCAUAUCAAAAUUUUCAUAUUUUCUUAAAUGUAUCACUUUUCACAUAUUCAGUAUUUUCCACAAAUUCUUCAAAAUCUACAAUAAAAUUAAAAAAAAUUGAUUAAUGCAAAACACUCACAAAAAUGCACAUGUAUACAUAUCAUGUAAGAUUCACAUGUGAUCAUAUCAUUUAAGAUUCACAUAUUGAUUAAAUAAUGUGAUAUUCACAUGUGAUUGUAUAUUUUAAGAUUCAAAUGUGAAAUUGAUAAGAAAACUUUUAAAAAUAUUUAACGAAGAACACACACAAAAUGCAUGUGUGCAUAUAGACGUAAUUCAUAUGUGAUUCACUUGUGAUUUACAUGUAAAUCACAUGUAAUUGAUAUGUGAUCUACAUGUGAUUCAUAUGUUAAUUACAUGUGAAUCACAUGUAAUUCAUAUGUGUUUCACUUUUGAUUUAUAUGUGAAUCACAUGUGAAUUACAUGUGAAUCACAUGUAAGUCAUAUGUGAAUUACAUGUUAUUUACAUAUGAAUCACAUGUAAUUCAUAUGUGUUUCACUUUUGAUUUAUAUGUGAAUCACAUGUGAAUUACAUGUUAUUUACAUAUGAAUCAGAUGUGAUUCACAUGGAAAUCACAAGUGAAACACAUAUGAAUUACAUGUAAUUCAUAUGUGUUUCACUUGUGAUUUCCAUGUGAAUCACAUCUGAUUCAUAUGUGAAUUACAUGUAAUUCAUAUGUGUUUCACUUGUGAUUUCCAUGUGAAUCACAUCUGAUUCAUAUGUAAAUUACAUGUGAAUCACAUGUAAUUCAUGUGAAUUACAUAUGAAUCACAUGUAAUUCAUAUGUGUUUCGCUCGUGAUUUACAUGCGAAUCAUAUGUGAUUCAUAUGUGAAUUACAUGUGAUUUACAUGUGAUUCAUAUGUGAAUUACAUGUAAUUUAUAUGUGAAUCACAUGUAAUUCCUAUGUGAUUCAUGUGUGAUUUACAUAUAAGCUAAACUUGAGUGCUUUUAAAGAUGAUCAAACAAGUAACUUACUGUGCUCACAGGGAAACGGGAUGACAGUUUCAACAAAGCACUCAAACACAUAGCUCUGGUAGUAAGAUCUUAUGUGUGGUAUUUGAUUGCAAGUUCAACAACAUCAUUUUUAGUUACGUGUUCAUAAAAACUCAAAAAUUAACAAAUAUAUCAUAUGCAUAAUAUGUCAAUUGUCAUAAGAAAUACAUAAGGAAAACUAACAGUUAUAACAAUCAAACACAUCAACAACAUCAUUUUUAGUUACCUGUUCAUAAAAACUCAAAAAUUAACAAAUAUAUCAUAUGCAUAAUAUGUCAAUUGUCAUAAGAAAGACAAAAAGAAAACUAACAGUUAUAAUAAUCAAACACACCAACAACAUCAUUUUCAGUUACCUGUUCAUAAAAACUCAAAAAUUAACAAAUAUAUCAUAUGCAUAAUAUGUCAAUUGUCAUAAGAUGACUUAUUUUAAUGAAAAUUUUAGAAAAUUAAAUCAAGGCAUUUCCGCAUUGCUGAUGAAAUCCAUAAAACUAAUGAAUUCUAGGAAUUAAAAGUUAGACAAACGUCCAAUACUUAGAAAUCUAAACAUUGAGAAAAAUUGUUGGCAUUAAUUUCUUCAGGCAUUAGAAGAAGUAAUAAGCCAACAAAAAAUAUUCAUGGCCUGAAUGUGAUACAACAUAUUAGCAUCAUUAAGGAAUUUCAUUACAUUUCACAUAAUCUAUAAGAAUAUCUAAAAAAAAUAUACAAUAUUAGUUGUCAAAUGAGUUGAAUGUUGACCUGGCAGUAACCAACAUACGAGUUAUGGAGAGAAUAUACUGUGAGUAAACAUCUCAAAGCAUUUCUACCACCUUCAUCUAGAGUAGGGUGACCUGGAAAAGUCUGAGGCAAAUCUUGUUAAAACAAAACAGUAUAUCUGAUCUGAUUAGGAAUUGUACAAAAAAACUA